rnacentral:lncRNA from 1 species
CUAAUUUGGCUGUACAAACACAAAGAUAAGCUGUUGCUAUUGCAAAUGUAGAUAUGUGAGAAGAAGAAUCAAACUUUUCAUUUUCGAUCUUCUUGUUCAAGAUCCAUUCCUUUAGCUUUUGAAUGUUUUGGUGUGUGAAUUCUAAAGUGCUUCUAACUAAACCAUGUUUUGUUUGGGGGAAUUUAAGGUUUAGGCUUUUGUUGUUGGGUCCUUCCGCAUCUUUCCAUGCUUUUGCAUAGAUUUUUGCAAGAUCUUUUGGAUCAUUUAUAACUGACCUAUUAUAUAAUGGCACUUGUUUGGGGGUUGGUACAGAGGAUUCUUCCAUGCAAAUUUGAGCCCAUGAUUUGAUAAAUGAAGUUGAGCUUCUUCCAUCGAAGAUUGCAUGGUGAUUGGUUAUUCCAAUCGAAAAACCUUUGUUUUGAAAUUUGGUUACCUAUAUAUUGAGAAUAUAAAUAAUUAAUUAAUUGUUACCUUCCAACUAUAGCAAUCAAAUUUAAAGUGUUUACAAAUAUAAUACAAUCCAAAGUUAUAUAUAUAGCAAAACGUUGAAAUAACCAAUCACUAAUCAAUUAAUAAUAGUCGUCUAUUAAUAAUAGUCUAUUACUAAUAUUGGAAACAUAAAUAAUUAAGUGAUUGGUACAAUUGCAAGUAUUCCAAGAUCUAUAUUUGGAUUUUAUAAUCUAUCUAGCUAUUAGUGAUAUUUUAGAGAUAUUACAAGUCUAUUACUAGUAAUAUUCUAUCAAUGAAAGAAAUAAUGUAUUACUAAUGGAGAAAUUUAUAACGAGAAUGUCUAUCAUUGAUAAAUAUUUUACAAUACCUGUAUAAUUCAACUUUAACGCAUGGUUGUUAUACAUUUACUUAUUUAGCUAUAAAAGUUAUAUUCUUUAUAAUAAUUGUUAUAACUAAUCUUAAUUAAAUAAGGUUUGGUUCUUAACCAUGCAUUUAAGUGACUUAAAUGCAGUACGUAUGUUUUUUCCUUUCAAUUUAGUCCUUUAAAAAUUUUUAAUUUAGCAUUUUUGGUUAGUGAAUAAUGUCAAGAAAUUUUUUAGAAAGAAAAGAAAAAAAAGCUAUCUUAUAAGCAAACAAAAAGUAAAAAUUUCAACUAACUUCGUAGAAACAAACAGGGGGAAGAAAUUAGAAACCUUUUUUUCUUUUUGUUAAAAUUGAAACAGAUGAACAAGAAGAAGAACUAGCUGAAGAUGAAAAACAAAGAUAAUAAAACAUCAAAUGAAAGUGAUGAAGAAGAAAAUAUAAGGUGGGAAAACAAAAUAAGAAAAAGGCAAUAGAAAAACUUAAAUAUUGUGAUAUUCCGCUAUAUCAACCUAUCUAAAUUGAAUAUAUAGUGAUUGUCUACGAUUGAUUGUUCUUAUUAUUAAUUCCAACAAUUUCUUGUUGCAGAAGAAAGAAAGAGAAAAUAAAGAAAGAAAUAAAGUGAUAAUUAUCUGCAAUAUUGAACACAAAAUCUCAAAAUUUUAAAAAUAUUUUACUGCAUCUUAAAAUCUUUUGGUGUUUUCUUACCAAAAUUAACCUAAACGUAAGUAUAAUUGUUCUUUAUUUAUUUGGCAAUAUGCAUGAUUUAUUGUUUUCAGAUAAAAGGCAAAAAAACAAAAGCUUUUAUAAAAUACAGUAAAUUUUAUUUAGAUUAUGUCAUUUACCAUCAUUUUUCUAAGACUUUUUAUGAUUAAUUUCAUAAAUUUUCAAACAUCUUUAAUUUCCGAAGGACUUAUUCUCAUCCAUUUUGUUCUUAGAGAUACCUUAUUCACAAGGUAUACAUAAAUUUCUACAAACAUUUUUUAAAAACUUAUAAAAACAACCCAAAAUAUAAAAAUAAUAAAUUAUUAAAUAAAAUAAGUAAUCUAUUAUUUUCGAAUAACUAAACAUAUCUAAAUUUUAGAAGGAUAUAAUUCACAUUAAGAACGAAUUUAUUAUAGGCACCUGCCCCUCACAUUAUCGAUUUUUUAUUUUAAUAUUAAUUUUGAAGGAUUAGAUUACAAUAUAUAUUAACUUUAUUUGACCUAAAUUCUGCUUAUGCUAUAAUGGUUGUGCCCCUAAAUCUUGUCUGUUACAAUUAUUUUUACAAAAUAGAUUUUAUUCCAAAUAUCAAUAAUUUUCUUUCCUCAAAAAUUAAAUUUCUUUCUAGAUUUUCAUAAAAUAAAUUUUAUUCAAAACAUCACUAAUUUUCUUUUCUCAAUCAUCAAUAAUUUUAUUUCCUCAAAUAUCCGAUUUAUUUCUAAAUUUGAAUGAUUUUCUAAAAGGGAGAUAAUUUGAUUUCUUAGAAGGAAAAUAAUUUGAUUUAAAAGAGAGAUAAUAUUUUAAAAAGAGAAAAAAACUGAUCUCGAAAAAAAUCUUAACCUAUUUCCAGUCUUUCUUUAUUACUACAAUUUCUGAAACGUUGAGAUAUCUUUUAAACCGUGUUUAUUUUACUGUGCUCGGUGCUCCCUGUAUAAAAUUUAUAGAUCCGCCACUAGUUCACAUAUUGGAAAUAUCUACACGGAUGCAAACUGAUACUCUAUUAUCGCCUACUUAAGAAUUAGUGGUUAAGAACCUGAAUAGCAAUAACUGCAGCACGAUCAUGAGAGACUGUCAAUACAGGAACAAGAGGAUGAAAAUCCGAAACUUCUCGAAAUCCGUUACCAGAAAGAUGAUCAAAAUCAUCGUCGGACUCCGCCACCGUCAUGGAAACCCCAUUACCUUCUACAAAUUCAAUGACAGGUACAUCGGAUUGCGAUGGCCAAACGAGGUUGCCAGCCAAAGGAAGAUGGUGACAAAGAGCGAGAGAAAGAGAGCUCUUGAGCUUCGAAACAAUGACAUCGUAAGACGAGAUCUGAUUGGAUGGAAAUUCGUAGAAAAAAAGACGUUGAAUUGGAUAAAACCUUAACCAGAACAAAUCAAAGAAAGUGAGGGGAAGAGAUAUGGGCGCUGCCGCUGUGGGAGGAGGGGAGACUUUGGAGACCUCAAUUACUUUCAGAGAAGGAAAGUUAGCCAUCGGAAAUAAUAGAAAAGUGAGAAGAUAAUGGGUUGGAUCCUUUCAAAUCUUUGGGGUCUUUUAAAGGUCCAAAAACGUUGAAAACAACAAACAAAUCAUGACGUAUUGGCUUUCGUCUUUUUUACUCCUUGAAAUUAUGAAAUGGAAAGUCUUCUAGAAUUUCAAAAAUAUCGCUCUAGCCUGUAGCCUGUAGCCUGUAGCCUGUAUAUAUCAUUAUGAACGAAUAAACCAAAAAUAUUUUUACUCUUUCUAGUACAAAUACUAAUAGAUUCUAAUUUUUCUAAAUUUUUUUAGAAUUUUUAUUAUUUAAAAUAAUUUUUUAUAACAUAUAGGUGUAUUUUCAAAUAUAGAAUACAAAUUAAAACUUUUAUAAAAAUAUAGCAAAAUUUUAAAUCCAUCGAAAUCAAACGAUAAAAUUUAAAAUUUUACUGAAUUUUGUAAAUAUUUUCAAGAGUUUUGUCUAACGUAAAUGUCUAUUACAUCUGAUUUUUAUUAUAAAAUAUAAAUAUUUAGUCGAUUUUUAUAAAUUAUACUUUUAAAAUACGUAUUUCAAAUGUAAUAUUAUACCUGUCCUUUCAAUUUCAAUUCAUAUUUAAUUGUCUUUAUAUAUCACAUAUUAACUAGUGUACGAUUAUUCAUUAAAUAUAAGAGAAAUGCAUUCAAUUAUUGUUUGAAAAAGUAAAACCAUUUAAAGAAUGAUAUUCACAUGGUGAGAAAUGCAUUAAAUAUACCAAAGUCAAUCUCAAUUCGGUAUAAAUUCCAAAUUUACUCUAUCUUGGUAUAAUUAAAAUCUUCAUGUCUUAUCAUUUUUCCUUUUCAAGUUGCAGGGUUAAAUUUGUAAUUUAAGCUUUAAUUUAUAUAUAAAAAAUGGUAAUGGAUAAAACUUUUGUUAAAUAAUUGGCUAAUCUACUAUUAGGGAAAUAAUUGGCUAAUCUUUGUUUUUCACUAGUUGGAAGGAAAAUCUUCUAGAAUUUCAAAAAUAUCAUCAUUUGUAAAAUACACCAACAUAAAUCAAAAUAUUUAUAAAAUAUAACAGAAUUUUAGAUGUAUCACUAUUGGUAUUGAAGACAAAAAAAGUCUAUUAGUGUCUAUCAUUGAUAUAAUCUAAAUUUUACUAUAUUUUGUAAGUAUUUUCAACUAUUUUGUCAUUUAAAAUAAUUUCUCCAAUAUAAAUGUCUACUACAUCUGAUUUUUGUCAUAAAAUAUAAAUAUUUUGACAACUUUUAUAAAUUAUACUUUUAAAUAUUCAUUUCAAAUGUAAUAUUAAAAGUCAUCUCUUUUGAAGUGUAUUAUUAAUGGUCUUUUAUCAAAUGAGUUUAAAUAAGAGAAAUUGUAAAAGAAAAGUAAAAUGGACAAACUAUUUACACUUUGUGACAAAAGUGUAAUGAGUUUGGGUUUUUUAGUGAUUUUUUUGCCACAGUGUAAAUUGUUUGUAUUUUUUUUUAGAAAAUGAUACUUGUAUGGUUGGUAGGCGAGGUCGAUACCCUUUUAGCUCCCUCAUCAUUCUCAAUAGUUUGUAUUUUUUUUUUAUUAAAUCUAUCAAAAUCGAACCUUAAUUUGUUUCUUCAGGAUAUUUAUGUAUUUAAAACUCAUAGAGAAGGAUUUUGUAAUGACUCAAACUCUUAAAUUAAGCUGAGGUUCUUACCUAAAAGAUAAAUAUCAAUUUUGGCACUUUCUUGUAAAGAGAAAAACUAAAUCUUUAUUAAAAUAAUUUUCAAACAACUGUUCAUAAAACAAAAUUUAGCGAAAUCUAUAAAAUUCCAUGAAAACAAACUCGAGCUAAUUUUAACUAAUUAAAGAAAAUAAAUAAAGAAAUAAAAUGUUUACAAUCGAAAAGACUAAAAAUUAAUAAAUGAAAAGCGAAAGCAAAAUUGAAUCCUUCCAUAUGGCAUGUCAUGGACCCUUACUGUCGUUGACCAACUUUUCAGAUCCUCUACCAUUGCCUGAAAUAUUAAAAAUAGAAAAAUGGCGAGUAUAUAAAAAUAUAGCCAGCAACGGAUCCACCUAUUGGCCCCUCUAAGUGAUCUAUUAACUUCUCAUUAGGAGAUCCCAUAAGGUAAUAAUAAUAUCGUUUGUCCCAUGGAGCACACGUGAGCAAGUGGUACCGUAGGAACACUUUUAGUCGUGCGAGUGAUCCAUAGGUACACCUCUAAUUGUGCGAGUGAUUUCGUCAAAACACCCUUAGGCAUGCAAGUGAUUCUGUUAAAACACACCUCUAGUCGUGCGAAUGACUCCAUUUGAACCCAAUACAACUGAUACUUAACCGUGCAUAUGAUAUUUAGGUACACGUUGUGCAAGUGAUCCCGUAGGAACGCCUCUAGUCGUGUGAGUGACCCCAAAGGUAGAAACACAAUACAUGUGGGGUAAAAGCCUAACAACCAAAAUUAACAAACAUCAUAGUCCAAAAACAUGUGACAAUCAACAUGAAUCAUCAGUCAUAGCAAUUCAUAAUCAUGCAAUUCAUAAAACAUCGAUAAUCACCAUAAUACACCAACUAUCAACAACAAAAUCUCGUUAUGUAUUUGUAGUUAUUAUCAAUACAUAAUCAUAAAAUACGUGCAGAGUCUUAAAUUUAGUUCGAAGGUUCAAUAGUAGAAUCUCUUACCUGAUAUUAGCUAAAAGUAUUCCUUUGCUGAUAGUAAUUUUUUUCAAUUAUAUUAAAACAGAUCCUAAAUAGUAAAUUUUUUUUCUCAUAUCCUUAAUUAAUAAAAUUUACCAAUGGCUAGCUAGCAUCUAAAAUUUUUCAACUUAACUUAUCCAAUAACUUAAGUAAGAUUGAAUCAAUUUAAGGUUGAUGGAAAAUUUUCACAAAUUAAUUCCUACAAAAGUUUCCAAUUAAGCCUUAAAAAAAAUCUACCAAUUAGAUUUGAAAUUAAUUUAUCUUUAAUUUAACUUUAAUGACUAAUGGGAAAAUUUUCGCAAAUUAAUCUUUCAAAAACUUCUAGAAGAAAAAGAAUCCAAAUUUUAAUACAAAAAUUAAUUUAUCAAAAGCUUUAACUUAUAUAUAUAUAACCCACAUUAAACAUAUCCAAUUAAUUAUUCUUUACAACUUUAGCCCAUUCCAAUUGGUAUGCUUUAGUAACGAUAGGCUAUAUAAUAAUUGACCAUCACAAACAUAUCACAUACUACGCAUAUAAUUGUAUUACUAUUAUCAUACAAUAAUCUAACCCUCAAUUGAGGAUCCAAUAGUAGAACCCUUAUAUUUGGUUAUGACAAGUUUCCUACGGCAGAUAAAACCACAAUUUCACCUAUGUAACCAAAUUAAAUUAACAAUUUUUGCCAACAAAUUAAUAAUUUCAUUAUCUUAGCUUAUAAAGUUAUCGAAAUAGAGAUCGAAAAAUCCUCUCAACCUUGAUAGAAAAAUUCACCACUUAAAUCUUCAAGCUUUGUGAAAGAGACCUUCCAAAUAAAAGUAACCAAAAUCAAUUGCAAUAAUAAACUUAAUUUAUUUGAUUAUGGAUAUUUGCAGCCUAAUUGUGCUUUCACCUUGAUAAACAUAAAUUAAUUAAAAGGAAUUCCUCUCUAAUUAAUACUAAAAUGUGUUUCUUCUCUAAUUAUUUUUGUUGGAAGAAUGAUUCUAACAAUUCUUUCAAACUGUUUGUUGCGAUGUAGUCUUAAUGUCGAGUAGCUAACAUGUUCAUUUAUUUAAUUUUAAUAAUUAAAUAGGUUUGAAUUCGUCACUAACUAUAUUAAAGUGUGAUUGGUCAUCUAAAAAUUUUUUUAAAAAAAUUGUCUAAAAUUCAUGAGAUUUAAGUUCGGGAGUCUUUAGGAACGUGUUAGCACCCUACAGCACCCAUAAAAAUGAUUACCAAAAUUUAUCUCUUAAACUAAAUUAAAAUGGUUCACAAAACAAGGUUUUUUUAUUUAUCUUUUUAAAUGUCUCAUGGUUCUCAAUUCACACCGAAAAAAAUAAAACCUAAGCAAUAAUUAAUAAUUAUGAGUGUCAUAAGAGCAAUUAGAAAAAUGAAGUUUAUUUUUUGUUUCAAAAUAUGAUUUUAUUUUAUUAUUAUUCACCUUAAAAAUAUUAAAAUAUCAAACUUUAAUAUUUUAAUCUUCAUAAUAAGUAAAAAUAUGAUUUUAUUUUAUUAUUAUUCACCUUAAGAAUAUUAAAAUAUCAAACUUUAAUAUUUUAAUCUUCAUAAUAAGUGUUUAAUGAGAAAUUUCAUGUACAUAAAAUUAAUAAAUUCAUAGAAAACAAUACUUAGCCUCAUUUAAAAUAUGAAAUUGUUUAUAAUUUUAAAGAUAACUUAUUAAUUAAAUUUCAACCCGAGAAAUAGAAAUUUCAUAUAUUCUUGAUAUUUAAGUUAUAAAACCCAUAAAAAACAUUACAUAUUUAAAUUUUUAUAUUCAUAUUAGAAAAUAAAUAAAUAAAUAAUAAUAAUAGUAGCAAUAUAAUGUGAAAUUGAGAAAUACAGGUUGUGAAAUAGUUGUAAAAUAAUAUAGGUGUGAAAUAGUUGCACGAAAACUGUGAAAUAAAAUAAUAUGCACGAAGGCUGCGAAAUAAAAUAAUAUACAGAGAGACGGUUGUCACACCCCAAAUCGUACUAUGACCUUGGGUAGAGUCACUCGAAAAUUAAAGAAAUUUGACAAAUAAAUGUUUAAUCAUUACUCUUGCAAUUCUCUUGAAAAUGUAGGUAAAUCUACAACAUCUCAAUUGUUAAGCUCGAAAUCAAGUGGACAUGCAUAGACUGUGUCCCCUUCAAAUGAUGCUUCUUAUGUCAUUGUUGUAAUUGAGAAACUCUCCAUCUUUGUUAACAAACAGUACUUUGAAUCAGAAUCAUGUGAUGAGUGACUUAUACCAGCACUCUUGAAAGUAUCAUAUAAUGUUGGUAUAAAUUUUAGACUUGGGAUCAAACUCCCUCAUCUCUAGCUUUGUCGAACGCUUUUUCUUAUUUUCUUCUUCAAGCCUAAUCUUAUCAUAUACGAAUGACAUUUAGCUCAAAUCAAACAUCUCAUCAUUGCUCGAUGUGUUUAGAAGUGUUUCUAAGUUUGAUUCAAACAAUAUCUUCCACUUCUCAUCACCCUAGUGAUCAUAACUUCCACUUUAGGCCCAUGUGACUUUAUUACUUCAUUUAUAGCUGCUUUCAUUAUAGUUGCAUGAACAAUUUUAAAAGAGCAAAAAUAGUAUUCUAAUGCUUCCUCUGUCGCCUCAACAUAUGGGGUUGAUACCGAUUUUGUUAUCAGAAAUUUUCCUCUCCCAUCAAACAAAUCACCUACUCAACAAUAAAUUUCAAUUUUGAUGCAAUGUGGAUGACAUCACCCCUACAGAGUGAAUCCAAGGACGUCCUAAUAAAAAACUGUAAGUAUGUGUUAUUUCCAUUACUUGAAAGACUAUAUUGAAAGUACAUAAGUCAAACUUGAUUGGUAAUUCAAUGUCACCCAUUACAUCUCUACGUGACCCAUCAAAAGCUCUCACAACCAUAGUGCUUGAUUUUAUGUGUGACAUGUCCAUUGCAAGCUUGAAUAGUGUAGAUUUAGGCAUUGCAUUAAGAGAUGAACCACUAUCCACUAAAACUCUUGCUAUUGCAUAGUCUUUGCACUUUACUUGUGUUGGAAUUUAUAUCCUAAAACUCGUAGAUUGUACAUAUAACUCAUUGACCGUUAUUAAGAAAGUGUUAUUUUUAUAAUUGCAAUAAAUAUUAUUGAUUAUAUUAAUAGUUUUGUCUUAAUAACCCAAAUCCAAUAAACUAACAUCCUAAGAUGUUUGAUGAGUCUUGAACAGUAUGUAGAGACAUAUAGAAAUCAAUGUUCGAGAUCAGCUUAAAGGGUCUAUAGUAUAAGGAUAAGAUUGGGUACCUUAUCUUGGUAACACUAUGGAUACGACUCACUUUGUAUUUGAUACAAAUGCAAUGAUUUCAUUUGUGUAGUUGAUAUGCAAGUGAAGGUAUCUUGCAACGGAUUUGCAUAAGACCAGACCAUAAAAUAGUAACCACUAGUUAUAACUCCGUUUACUAGUUAGGUUUCUAUUUCAUUAGGAUGACCUAGUUAACUUAGUCUUAAUCAUGAGUGUAUUAUGAACUCUUGUUCGCGAGAGAUUGUUCUUUGUUUUGUACAAAUGAGAGUGACCAAAUUUCCGACUCAAUAAUCUUAUUAUUUUGGGGACAAGAUCGAGUGGAGAGUUGGAAACAUAAUUUACGCAAGAUGAAAUUCACUCAUUUUCUACUUUAGGGUACGUAGAUGGUCCCUUAAAUGGUGUUUUUGGGACUUGAACAAAUGACCUUACCCUCUCUAUGAUACAAGAGAAAUUUAUGUUUAUUGGUUGGACCAUAAACAUGUUGUUCAUUAGAGAAGCACAUGUACUUAAAUAUUAGAGGUAACCCAAGGAUCAAAUGGUAAGUUGAUCUAGCUGGUAUUACAAACACUCGUGAAUAACUAACUUACUGUUAUUGGUCGAUAUCCGUGGACACAGAAAUAUAUCUACAGUGAGAAGAGUUCAGCUAUGAGUCUUUGGUGGAAUGUACACACAGUUAACGAAUAUUGAUUAAUGUAGUUAAUGAGUUUAGCCAAUUAAUCUCAGAUUGUUGUAGCUUCUGAUCUAUAGGUUCAUUAGAUCCCCUAGCCUCUAAAGGGUAAUGAGAUUUAUUUAUGUUGGUUGUAAUUUGAAAUGUUCAAAAUUACUUUGAAAAUUAGUUUAAUGUAUAGUGAUACAUUAUAAUAUAAAGGUUGUCAAAUUUUUUUAUAUAAAUUUAAUUUUGGAUAUGAUUCAAAAUUAGUUUAUGAUAAAAUAUUUGAAUGAGUUCAAAUAUUAAUUUAAUAUGAAUUGAAUUCAUAUUAAAUUAUCUGUUAUGAUAUAAAUUUAUAUUUGAAUAUGAUUCAAAUUUAAUUUAGCUAUUAAUUAAUUAAUAGUUAUUUUUAUUUUAUUUAAUUAAAAUAAUAUAAAACUAUAAGAUAUCGGAGAGAUAUUCAUUAAAUAAGAUUUAAAUAAAAUAUUAAUUAAAUAUGAUAUAAUUAAUUAUUAACUAAUUGAUUAAGGGUUAAUUAGUUAAUAGAUUUAAAAUUUUUAUUGAUUUAAAAUUUUUAAAUUAAUAGAAUCACAAGAUUAUCUCCUAGUCCCUGAAGAAAAGAGAGUUAUAAAUAUGCGAAGGAAAAUUGUUUUUUGGUAAAAGAGUUUCUCUAAACAAUCUCUAAAUUUUUUCACAUACCAAUUGGUUCUCACAAACCAAUCUUAUCCUAGAGGAUAAGAAGGUCACCGACGGAUAGUGUCCCAAUUUGGAGAUUUAUUUUGUAGAUUCAGAGACGUCAAACAAGUAAAUUUUUCUCUCUCUAAUCUAUAAUUAGAAAACAUACUUAGCCUUUAAGUCUUAAUAAAAAAUUUUGUUUCUAUAUCAUUUUGCCAAUGUACUGAUAUUUUAGAAUUUCCAAAUUAAAUUGAGGAAUGAUUUUGUAAAAUCCUCCGUUGUCAUGGACUUUUAUCCCUUCAACUUGAAUAUGCAAUGCUUUUGUAUGACUUAAACCUUCAAGAGGAAAGUCAUCAUCCGUGAAGACUAUGAAAUUUGAAGACGUAAUGUUUCCAAUAAUGUUGUUAAACUUUUUCAUUCAAAUGUCAUGUCCAACUUGUGUCUUGUUCAAAAUAUCUAAUAGCACUUUGCGAUGAGACUCUGAAUUAAAAAACAAAGAUAAUAAAGAAAUUCGAGCUGGAGUAUGAUGCAUUUCCUCUAUGAUCUUAUACUUAUAUACUUUGUUUUACUAUUUUCAAGAAUUUAUUUGCUUCCUCAUCCGUAAUAGGCUUCUUGUAUUCUACAUCUUUUGCUAUUGAUAGAUAUCUCUACAUCUUGCUCUUUGCAAUGUUCAUUCACAUUUCUUCUCUAAUUUUUCCUCUAUUGCCCCAUUAUAAAACUACUUGAAGGAGCUAUUAAAUUAUCUAGUUUGUAACAUCUUCCACUUUGAGUUAUCUCGAUGAUUUCUGUAAGAUUAUAAACUGAAGGACCUGUAUUAAUGACAACUUGAAAAUCAUAUCGUCAUGACACUGCUUUCACAUUCUUAAACUUGAAAGGACUCGGUACUGGAUCGUGGGUUAUUUAGGAUUGUAGGAAGUUGACUCAUUACGACUUUCUUGAUAAAAGACCGUCAAAGGCCUUGGUAAAAAGGAUUUUUCCUUUUUUGCAACUUCAUCCAUUGAUGCACAUAUUUUAUUGUCUUUUAUCUCAUCAUUUCCUUGUCCUCUGUAUGAGUAUAUUUGAAUCCAUAAGUUGUUGUACUUUAGAUCUGAAUUUACAACACAGUUAGACAACGUGACUUGCAACUCUUUGAUGAAAUAUACAAUGUAUGUUUCCAUCGUAUCCUUCAUUUCUUAUGUUGGGGUCUAAAUAUUCCUGACUAACAUAUCCUGCUUCAAAAAGUGUUUUCAUAGACGUCACUAUCUCAUGAACUUUAUUUUUACACUUUUCAACAAGGCAAUCUACAACGUUCACUUUGAAUUUUCAUGAUUAGGCAGUGGAUUGUUGUUGACAUCCGGCUUCAACCAACUUUUUUGAAGCUUAACCAUCUAACAUUAAUUAAAGAUUGCACCUUUCUUUUAAAGGCCAAACAAUUUUCAGUUGAGUGUCAUGCUCCACCAGCAUGAUAAUCACAUCUAGCAUUUGAAUCAUACUAUUUUGGAUAAGGAGGUUGUAUAUGAUUCAUUGGAAUAAGAGCUAACUAUGGAUUUUGAAUUAGCUAGGGUAAAAACUCUGUAUAAGUCAUGGAAAUUGAAUCAAAAUCGCCAUGUAUCAGAGUUGGUCUUCCUACCAUGACCUUAUACAAAUGGUCGAUGAGAGUUUGAGUUAACAGGUUUUGGGGUUCCAAAGAAAGAGUGAGCUGGUACAUAGUUGUUAUAAGGGAUAUGAGAAACAUUGCUUAUAUAUGAAGAGAAAUUUUGGUCAUGUUUUCUUUGGCCAAAAAUCGAUUUGUGGUUCCCUAAAUUAGAAAACCCAAUUGCAUGAACCUCUCCUUCUUUCUUCUUAAAUGUUGUUCCUUUCUUUAAAUCCUCAUACUCAAUUGAAGCCUCUACUAACCUCCUAUGCUUUAUCUCAUAUUCAAUUCUUUCACCAAUAACAAUAAUGUCAGAAAAAUUGGUUGUAGUAUUACCAAUCCUUUGAUCAUAAAACAGAGCCCACAAAGUACUCAUAAACAUAGAUGUCAUUUCUUUGUCCGUUAAUGGUGGUUGAACCUCUGUAACCAUAUCUCUCCAUCAUUGAGCAUAUUCUUUAGAACUUUCUAAACUCUUCUUCUCCAUCCAUUGUAGGUCUAAACGAUCUGGUGCCAUAUUCAUAUCAUGUUUGUAUUGCUUUAGAAAUGCAUAAGCUAAGUCCUUUCAAACAUGAAUGUGUGCAUUAUCUAAUUGAAUAUACCAUCGAGUCAUUGGACCAAUCAAAUUGUCCUGAAAACAAUGGAUCAAUAAUUUAUCAUUACCAAUAUGCGCUGCCAUCUUUCUAUAGUACAUUAUAAGAUGACUCCUUGGACACUAUGAUCCAUCAUAUUUGUUAAAUUUAGGAACUUUAAACUUUGCUGGAAUUAUCAAAUCUGGCACCAAACACAAUUGUGUUGCAUCUAUAUUCUCAUAAAUGUCAAUCCCUUCAACAUUUCAAUUGCUUGCAACCUUUCUUCCAAAACAUCUAGUUUUUGCUUAGCCGGAGUGUUCUCAUUUUGUCCCAUGUCUUGAAUUUUAGUCUGAGCUUCCAAUUGUUAUAUUUCUGGAAUAGGAGGUGGAAUAGCAAAAAGCGAAUUCAUAUCAAUAUAGUAUUGCAUGGGUAAAUCUUGGAGGAUAAAUGGGAUCAUCGGUGUCUUGAACUCGAUUGCUUGAUUGUGUUGUAUCUACAACGACUUUCUCUUUUUUUUUAUUGAAAGCAAUUCCAGUAUUUUUGAAACUUGUUCCUCAAGCUUAUUAAUCUCUUAUCUCAUUUUAUCCAUGUCUUUAUCUUGUUCUUCCAUGAUUCGAUUUUUAUGCCUCAUAUGGUAAGGAUGUUGAAUUGAAGUAGGACGAGUGAUGUUUUCAUUUGAUGAUUUUGAAAACUUUAAAAACCAAAGAGAAAGGGAGAAAGAGAGAGAGAAAAUUUAUUAAAUAAUGAAUUCAAAUACAUUAAAGCCAAACAAAAUAUAAACCUGACAGAAUAAAAAUCAAACUAAAACAAAAAACAAACAAAAUGUAAUGAACACUCUCAUUUGUCAUUAAUUGCAAAAUAAGCAAUUAAUGAAAACGAUCAAAAUGCCCAAGUCCUCUACAUAUCAUCUUCAAAAUCCUAUUCAGAUCAUCUGCAUGAGGUUGCAUUGAGAAAAAAUUAAUCCUUAAAUUAGCUGCCCAUUCUGUAAAACUAUUUGCUCUUCUAGACAUUAUUUUGAGAAAUUUAAUCGUCUAAUCUACACAUUCAACUAACACCUGGAAAUCUUUUCUUUGCAAAAUCACAAUCAACCUUCACUUGCAUGUAAUCUGUCUUUAAUAAUUCGUAUUCUUGUACUAUCCCCUCACUUGAAUUUUGAAAUGCAAUAAGUUGAUAGUGUAAGGAAUCAACAUAAUUUUUCAGUAUUUUAUACUUUUCAGAGUACUCAACUAUCUUCACAUGUGGGUUAUCAUUUGUUUGAUGUAUAGAGUGAUUGUGUGCUUCCAAAUCUACUAUAUGUGCUUCCUGUUUUCCAAAUGAUGUAUUCAAAUCAUUGACAACUCGAGAAAAUAUCCUUCUCAAUUUCUAAAUCUUUAAUAUAUUCAUCUUGCGAUUCUAUUGUUGCCUGUAAUGUUGUCUUUUCAUUUUUCAAGCUUCUAUUUGCUUUACUCAUUUGCCUAAUCUCUUUAUCUAACACCUCAAAAUUCUUUUUUAACUUAUCUUGAUUUCUUAAGAAACUCUUGGUCUUUUCGAGCUCUUUCUACAAAAAAGUCACAUGAUCACUCAAUUGACUUGUCUCUUUACGAAGUUUCUCAUUCUCUUGCUCUAACAGUUGAUUUUUCUCUUAUAAUUUUAUGCUCUUCUCAGCCCACUAGUUUGAUUGUUCAAAGCUUGUCUCUUAUACCCUUUCAAUUGAUGGAAACGAUAGACAUGCGCAGCAAAAUAAAGAUCGAAUUUUACUCUAAUUGCAACUAAACAAGUUUAGUAAUUAACAUGCAUAAAAAUAAAACCCUAAAAUAACAUAGAUAGGGUUAAAAGAAAAACUUACCUUUGAAGUUUUUCUUCUCUUGUAUUCUCUUCACGAAUUUGAAGUCAGCACAACCACUAGAGUUUACCUCCUAUUCUUCGGACUUGGAACCGAGUUGUGGGACUAAAAAAUGGUGGAGGAAAUAGAGAGAGAUUGAUGAUAUCCUUUUGAUGAAAAAAUCUCAAAUGAAAAGAGUUCUUGGUCUUAUUUUGUAAUUCUCAAUUACAAAAUUAAUUUUCAAUUUCAAAUCCAAGAGUCCUUUCACAUUUGCAUAAAACUUGUUUACAAACAAACUACAUGCAAGAGCUUCCGUAUCUCACCACUUGACAUUCUUAGUGGGGUAGGUGUCUUACAUGCAAUAAGCCACUUGCAUACCACAUGCAAGUGAUAAGCUUGUCAAAUCUCAACCAAUGUUAUUAUUUAAAUUAGUUUAAGGUCAAUAUGGUAAUUCAACAUUUAAAUCAAAUUCAAAGUUUGACUUUUUCAAGUCCAAAAUCAACAUUUUAUCCGUCUUGACUAAUUUCAACCUCCCAAGCAUGAAUCCGUAUUCAUUUCUCCAAAAUUCAAAUCACAUUUGAAUAUAAAGUUAGUCAAAUUUUGAUUUUUCAAAGUCAAAAGUCAACAUUUUAACUUUUUACAUCUUUGACCUUUUUCAUCAAUUCUAAGCUUCCAAAUAUGAAUCCAUAUUCAUAUUUAAAUCACAUUUAAACAUGAAGCUCUAUCUUAAGUUAUAACUUAUAACUGUAUCAAAUAUAUUUGUCGGUUUCUCUCUAUUUACCUAAUUCAAACAAUUCAAAUUAUUCCAUCAUAAUGUUCUAAGUUGAUUCCUUAUGAACUAGCGGGGGAACCUAAUGAACCUAUAGAUCAUAGACUCCAACGUUCAGAGAUUAACUGACUAAACUCUUUAGACUGAGUUAAUCAAUCUUCGUUAACUAACGGGUCAUUAUACUAAAAUCCCGUAGUUGCACUCCCCUGACUAUAGAUAUAUUUGUGUCCAUGUGAUAUGACCAUGAUAAGUAAGUUAAUCCUUCAUAGGUUGUUCAUAAUCUCGACUGGGUCAAAGUACCAUUUUACCCCUGAUAUUAUAUAUUUUCUCCUUAAGUCCCACUGAUCCACUAUUGAACAAUUGGUUUAAGGUCCAACCUUUAAACCGAAUCCCUCUCGGGCCAAUGAGAGGGUGGGACCCCUUGUUCAAGACCUAGAUUUAGUUCUUAAGGAAACAACCUAUCUACUAACCCUAAAGUGGGUAGGAGUGAAUUCCAUCUUGCACCCUAUGUCCUUAGCUAUCCACCCAAUGUUACCCUUGAAAUGAGAGGCUUAUUGGGCCAGCACUAUUGAGUUGCCCUCACCUAUGCAGAUCUAUGAAUAAUCUCGUGUGAACGUAAUUUUAUAGUUAGCUUAGGAUUAAGAUUAAGUUACAUUGGAUAUCUAUAAACGAAAUAGUCAGUUUUACAAAGUUAACGGUUUUAUAACUUAAAAAUGACUAUUUCAUGGUUCCAAUCUUAUGUAAACUCUUUACAUAGGAUGCCCCAACUUUCAUGUCUCUACAUGAACGAUUCAGGAUCAUAUCGUUUAUACUAACUACAAAGUAGGCCGCAUCCAUAGUGUCCUCAAAAUAAGGUGCCCAAUCGUAUUCGUAUACUAUAGACGGUUUAGGCUAUAUACUCAAACUUGGUCCACAUUUAUGUCUCUACAUAAGGUUCAAGUUUACUCUAUUAUAGCAUUGAGACCUUAGUUUAUUGGCUUUAAGAUUAUAGUAUCAAUAACGACUUAUUGAAUAGAAUAUGAUUAUAAACCACGAGUUUUGGGACAUAAAUUUCAACAUCAACUACAUCCCUUAAGGUAUCUAUUACAUUUUUCCUUUUGUUUGCUUGCCAUGCCUCGUAUUCACUGGUAACUCCUUCAUAGUAUCAUUUUCCUUUUAUCUUCCUCACAGACUUCCAUGCACAUACUACUCGAUAUUUUUUUCUUGACAAUCUUCAAGAUCGUAUGAAAAGUCAGAGUCCUGUAGAUUAUGAGUUGGUGGUAUAAACUGUUUGAGCCACACUUGACACAAAACUAACAAUGGUGUAGAGUUAACACCUUCUUGUGGUCCCAACAAAGGCACACUAUGAAAAUCUCCACAUCUAUAAAUCAUCGCCUUCAAAGGCAUCCAUUGAGCCUUCCAUAUGACAUUUUCAAAACUCAUUGUUGAAAAGAAAGACACCCAACCCAAGUCUCCAUCCUUAGAUAUGUUGGGUCCCAAACUGCCAUACCAAACUCACUAACAACGUUCCACAAUAAAUUUCAUGAUCUACUAAAAUCUAUCCUUGGACGCCUAAACUCUGCUAGAAAUUUAAUAUGGUUGUGUAUCCAAAUAUAUAAUAAAAGGACACAACAAUUCAAUUUUUCUUCCCAUUUAUUUCUACAAUAGGUAAGAGAUUGAAAAGUUUAAGCCAAUAUAGGUAUAAUAGGAUCAACUCCUCGUUCUAUUUUAAAAAAUAAUCUGAUCACUUUCUCAUAAACAUAACCCUAUACUUUAGGAAAAAUCACCGCUCCAUAAAUGCACAACGCUAAGAGAGUAAAACAUUUGUCUUGAUCAAUGUAAGUUUGUGCCAUCUUUAUUAAAUAGUCAAACGACACAUUCUCCUCCAAACCCUGAACUUUUACAUGCUUUUGAAUUUCUGUGGCAUGGACGGUUUCUAAAAACUUUGAUAAAGUCCUAUUUGUUAUUUGCUUAGGGUUAAAGAAAUUAAUAAUAAUUUCCCUUUUUUUUUCAGGCAUGCUAAGCAUAGCGUGAUAUUCUUCUAUAGUUGACAAUAAAUCACACAACCCAAACGUGAAACAACCGUAUCUGGAUUCAAAUAUUAAUUAUGACUCUUAAAGCAAAAUAAUUCACCGGUAUGUACAUCAACUCUACUGUAUGUCCAUACUUCUUUGAAAACAUGAAUCUUCGUUGAGGUGUCAAUGCCUCCCAGAUCAUCUUUAGUUUCGCUAAAUCAUUUUGUGUAGAAGAGAGCUGACACAUGGAUAGUACUAAUACUUGAGAAGAACUGUUUAUGCUAUCCUAAAUUUUUGUUGCAUCUCUUUAGUCCAUUUCAGAACAUUGCUUGACUCAUCAAACUUAGAUUCAAAAGGUGAAUGCAUCGACAUAUUAGACAACUUGGCAUUUCAAUACUAUUACUUUUUUGCACAAUUAUGAUAAAAAAAGACAAAAAUAAAAACAUAUAGUCAAUUCACUUCACACAAAAAAGUAAAAAAUAAAAAGAAAAAGAAAAAAAGAAAAAAAAAGAGUAAAUAAGGUUUUGAUGCACUUGUAAACACUACUCUUCUUAUUAUUUUUUAAACAAAUAUUUAAUUUUAGAAAAUGUAAAUGUUUUCAUGCACUUAGAAGCACUACUCUUCUUAUUAUUUUUUUAAAAAAUUAUUUAAUUUUAGAAAAUGAAAAGUUUUCAUGCACCUCUACCAUGUAAACACUCUUUUCCUCAUUUUUUUUUUUUUUUAAAAGUCAUUUAAUUUUACAAAAAGAAAAGUUUUCAUGCACCUGUUCAAGGUAGACGCUACUCUCCUUAUUGUUUUUUAAAAAUAUUUAUUUAAUUUGAAAAAAAAUGUAAAGGUUUUCAUGUACCUCUACAAGGUAAAUAUUAUAAUGUUAUUCCCUUAUUAUAAUGUUAUUUAAAAAGGGUUGGUAUCAUUUAAACUUCUAGAAGGGAAAUGCCCUCAAACUUAUUAUAAUGUUAUUUAAGAAAUAACAAAAGAAUUAAUCUGAUCGAGGAUCUUUCAUGUGAUUGUAUAAAAGUCGAAACCCCUCGAAGGUCAACACUACUCCCUCCUCAAUUCUAGUCCUAUAAGGUUGUAGCCCGAGUAGAGGGCUUGUGAAUGUGUAAAAUGCAUGAUGAUAUAUAUAUAAAAAAACAGACCAAUAACAUAGUACAAAUUAAUAUUCCAUAUGAAUCAAAUCAAAAAACAAAUAAUUAAGUGAACCAACAAAUCAUAAUAGACUAAGAAUAAAGGAUAAAAAUAUAACGAUUUGUCUCUCUUAAACACUUUUUAAGUCCACAAUGGAAUCGUCAAGUUGUUGCGACUUGGUUGCAAUGCGCCAAUGUUCUCGUUUAUUUAAUUUUAAUAAAUAAAUAGGUUUGGAGCCACCACCAACUAAGGUGUGAUUGGUCACCCAAAAAUAAAAAUGGUCUACCCAAAUUCAUGAGAUGUAACUUCGAGAGUCAGUUAAGUGUAGGAAAUGUGUUAGCACCCUACAACACCCAUUAAAAUGAUUACCAAAAUUUAUCUUUUAAACUAAAUUAAAAAGGUUCACAAAACAAAAAUUUUUAUUUUGUUUUUUUAAAUGUCUCAUUGUUCUCAAUUCACGUGAAAGAAAAUAAAACCUAAACCUUAAUUGAUAAUUAUGGGUGACAUAAGAGUCAUUAGAAAAAUAAAUUUUAUUUUUUUAUUUUAAAAGAUUAUUUUUUCAUUUAUUGACCUCAAGAAUAUUAAAAUAUCAAACUUUGAUAUUUUAUUAUCCAUUAUAGGUGUCUAAUGAGAAAUUCCAUGUAUCUAAGAAUUAAUAAAUUCAUAAAAAACACUACUCAGUUCUCAUUUAAAAUUCUCAUUUAAAAUAUAAAAUUAUUUAUGAUUUUAAAGAUAAUUUAUUAAUUAAAUUUCAAAUGAAGAAACUUAAUCAUGAAAUUUAAGUUAUAAAACCCAUAAAAAAUAUUGCUUCUUCACUAAUUUAAAAUAAUAUGUAGUGAGUCUGUGAAAUAAAAUAAUAUGUAGGGAGAGAAAUAAAAUAAUAUGAAAGGAGGUUGCGAAAUAAAAUAAUAUAUAGGGAAUCUCGGUGUGAAAUAAAAUAAUUAUAUGCAGACAUGUUGUGACAAAAAAUAGUAUAGUGAGAUAAAUAACCGCAAAUAAAGAACACAAGCAAACAAAUAAAUAAUGCAUGAUGCCAAAUAAAUAAUGCACGAUGCCAAACAAUAAAUUUGAACUCAUGAUACUUAAAUUGACCUAAAUCUAAAAAACCGUUGAACCACGUAAUAAGUCUGGCAUAAAUAAAUUUAAAAUCACAAUGCCCAAAUAAAAUUAAUAUGAAAAGUAGGUAGUAAUGUAUGAAUCAUUUAAUUGGGAGAAGAAGUGAAAAAUAGCACAAAGUUUCUUCCUAUCUUCUCAACCCUCCCAAUUGACAACUAAUGGAAACAAUUUUCUUUUGCACCUCUCGCAACAAAAUCUUCCCCUCUAUUUUUUAUAGGGGAUAAGGUGAUAGUUUUUUAGAGAGAAGGAAGUGAGUCAAAGGCAGAGGAAGUGUUGAUGGAAAAAAAGAUCGAGAGAAAAUGGAGAGUAGUGCAUAUUGAGAGUGGUUAAGGAAAAAUAGGAAGAAGGUAACGUGAGAUUUUUCCUAUAUUUUUUCUUUUUUCAUUUUAAAAUAAUUCAAAUUCAUAUUUCUUUUAACAAAAUAUAAUAAAAUAAAUUAAAGUAAAUAAAUGAAUCUAAAGAAAAUGAAGGACAAAAUAUGUUUCCUUUAAAAUUAUUAUUGUAAGCCACUCCUUCCAAUUAAGCAUUUAUUGUUCUAACUUAUUGAGUUUUCUCUUCCUUAAUGCCUUUGAUUCAAUAUAUGAUAAGACAACUCCAAUAAAGUCAUGGUAUGAUAGGUAGUCCCUUGUUAGAAGUAUACCACACACUCCUCGUGGUGGAUCGUGACAAUGCCCACAACCUUACAAAAUGUUUUAAAGUUGUUGACGUUAGAGGAGUUUUCUUUUUAUUACAUUAUGUGUUUCGUAUCAUUAUUAUUUCAUUUAUUCCAUUAUGUAAAAAAAUGAUUUACAUAAAAUGUGAACGUGAAAUCAAAUUUCAUUACGAUCACACAACAUAUGCAGCCCAGACAAUAAACUUAAUCGUAAAAAAGCUGCAUUUACAUGAUUCUAUUGUUUUUCAUACUAUAACUAUCUUUUUUUUUCAUAUAAAUAUUUAAAUUUUUAGUUAAAUUCUAUAUUUUUUUAACUACUUUUUUUAGUUAACUCGAGUGUUUGAAACAUGGAUAAUAAAACAAAUAAAUCUUCUUAACAAAAAUAGCGUUUACCAAACUUAAGUUCUAAAACCAAAUUAAAAGGUUUAUAGUCCAUGACUACACACAAAUUAACUAUAAACAACUGAUGUUAAAAUUUAUUAAAUAAGACAUACAUAAAAGUCCCAUAUAGUCCCAUAUAGCUAAAAUGAAAAAAGUCAUAUAAACUACACAUGGAUAAAAUUGGAAUAGUAAAAACCUUUGGAAACAAUUAUCCGUAUGAUGAUCAUUUCAAAUAGAUUCAAAGCCUUGAUUAAAUAUAGCAACAAAAGCUUCCAUUUCAUCCCUUUCCUUAACAACACCAAUCUCCAUUACCGCAUCACUAUUUCUACUAUCAGUCAAAGAAAAAAAAUAUGGUGAUUCAGCUGACACAAUCUCCACUUUCUUUGGCUUUCCAAAUCCAAAAUCAGCGUUAUAAACUCCAAAUCUUGGUGAACCAGCUAGAGAAAUGGCUUGUGUUUCUGAAUAAUCAUAUGUCAGUUGGCUCAUUAUUGACCCCCAAUUCUCACACCCAUUUAAAGCUCCACCAUCCAAAUUUCUAAUAGCUUUUGAAAUCUCAUCACAAGCGAAAAUUAUUCCAUUUUCCCUCAAAAGCUCAAACCUUUCAAGACGAACAAAUCCAGCAACCAAACAAUUCCCAAAGUAAUUCAAUGGCACUUGUGGCUUUAAACGAAUUCUGGCAUCAGCUGCAAACACAAACCAUAAUUCUCCUUCUUUUAAACCUUCUAAUUUGGCUGUACAAACACAAAGAUAAGCUGUUGCUAUUGCAAAUGAAGAUAUGUCAGAAGAAGAAGAAUCAAAAUUUUCGUUUUUGAUCUUCUUGUUCAAGAUCCAUUCAUUUAGCUUUUGAAUGUUUUGGUGUGUGAAUUCUAAAGUGCUUCUAAUUAAACCAGGUAUUGUUUUGGGGAAUUUAAGGUUUAAGCUUCUGUUGUUGGGUCCUUCUAUGUCUUGCCAUGCCUUUGCAUAGAGUUUUGCAAAAUCUUUUGGAUCAUUUAUAAUUGAUCUAUCAUAUAAUGGCAUUUGCUCCGAGAUUGGUACAGAGGAUUCUUCAAUGCACAUUUGAGCCCAUGAUUUGAUAAAUGAAGUUGAGCUUCUUCCAUCUAAGAUUGCAUGGUGAUGGGUUAUUCCAAUGGAAAAACCUUCGUUUUGAAAUUUAGUUACCUAUAUUAAGAAUAUAAAUAAUUUAUAUAUUGUAUAUAUGCAAAUAUAGCAAUCACCUUUAAAUAGUUAUAUAUAUAAUACAAUACAAUGCAAAAUAAGUUUUAUAUAUAUAACAAAAUAUUGGAAUAUUCAAUCAUUAAUAAUAGUCUAUCACUAAUAUUGAAAAUAUAAAUGAUUAAGUAAUUGGUAGAGUUACAAGUAUUUCAAGAUAUAUCGUUAAUAAAAAAAUUCUAUUACAAUAGUGUCUAUCAGGUAUGAAUAUUUUGCUGUACUUCUAACUCUUUAACCAUGGUUAACUUAUUUGGCCAUAAAAGAUAUUUAUUAUAAUAAUUCUUAUAAUUACCCGUAAUUAAAUAAUACCUUAAUGGGUUAGUACUUAACCAUGCAUUAUUGAAGUCUUUAAUGCAGUACGUUAUUUUUCCUUUCAAUUCAGUCCUUUAAAAAAGUUUCAAUUUAGUAUUUUUCUUUUUGUUUGUUUCUCAAUUUAGUCUAUGAUGAUUAGUGAAUAAUGUCAAGAAAACUUUUAAAAAGAAAAGAAAAAGUAGUAAUUUCAACUAAUUUCGUAGAAUCAAAUAGGGAGAAGAAUUUAGAAACUUUCCCUUUUUAAUGACUUUUUUUUUUCUUUUAAAUGCCUUUGUACCAAUGUUCUAAUAAAUAAUGUCACUAAUAUUUAUAUAAUUUAAAUAAUAGUUUUUUUCAACUUAUUUGAAAAUAAUGUUUACUAAUUUUGGUGUUUCUGAGUGGUAGGUUUUUAUAACUUUUUCACACAUAUCCAAGCACCCAAUAAAAAUGUGGCACGUGACAUUUUUUUAAAAAAAUAAAAUGAUCGAUGAGUGUAAAAAAGAGUGAGAGUAUUCAAUUAAUCGCACCUAUUUAUUCAUAUACACGUAAUUUCUCGAAAGUAUAUUCUCUAAAAUUAAAAUACAUUAAACACAAUGAAUGAAAUCGAGAACUUUUAAAAGACGUUUAGAUCAGGGAGUUUGUUAUUAUAAUCUUAAAUUAUGAUAGUUCAAUUAUAAUAGUUUACAACCUAGGUGUAGAUUAUAAUUUUAGUCUGGUUUGAACUAUAAUGUUAACAAUAGUAAAUAUUACAUAAAAGAAUUUUAAUGAUUUACUUAAAAAAAACUAUAGAGAUGGACAAGUUUUAUAUUAUUUUGUGGGAAUGAGGCAUAACAUCUUUUCACCAUAUUUGGUGUAAGUUUUCAAUCUUGGGAAUGAUAGCAUCUUAUUCCAAAGGCAUUUCAUAUUCUCUUUCCAUGCAGAUUUUUCAUAACCUUCCAAAUAGGAUGAUUUCUCUCUCUCUUACUUCUUAUCUUUUUCAUUUUAUUUAUUUUUCCUUCUUUCUUCUUAUUAUUUAAUUCAAACAUUUUUUAUAAAUAUUUCUAAACUAAGCCAUCUAUAAUUGACAUUUGUAUUCAUUUUUAUUACUAAUGAUGCUAAUAUAAUAAUUUAUUCUAUUUUAUGAAUUACAAUAAUUAAACAUAAUUAUAAUUGCUUAAUUUUUUUCGACACCCUAAAUUGUUUUCAAAUACAAGAAAAAAAAAUCAAUCAAAAUAUUUACCAAACAUAUGUUUAAUAGAAUUUGAUAUUUCUUUUAUAUUCGUAGAUAAGUCGGCAGCUUUUUCAUUCGCAAUAAUUUUCUUCAAAAAUUUUAUACUUAAUUUCAUAAAUUAAGUACAAAUAUAGUUUUUGUUAUUCUCAUCCAUUUUUUUUCCAAGCAUACAUAAAUUUUUACAAACAUUUUUGAAAAACUUAUAAAAAAAUUAAAUUAGUAAAUAAAAUAAGUAAUUUAUUAUUUUCAAAUAAGUACACAUACGUAUGUUUUAGAUUCGUGAUAUUUUGAUGCUUAUAUAAAAGAGAUAUUGAUUCAUCCAUUGAAAACAUCUACAUGUAGAUGCAAAUUUGAUACCAAUUAAUUAUUACCUACUUUAAGAAUUUGUGGUUAAGUACCUGAAUAGCAAUGACUGCAGCACGAUCAUGAAAGACAGGUAAUUCAGGAACAAGAUGAUGAAAUUCGGAAACUUUUCGAAACCCGUUACUAGAAAGAUGAUAAAAGUCACCGUCGGACUCCGCCACCGUCAUGGAAACCCCAUCGCCCUCGUGAAAUUCAAUGACGGGUACAUCCGAUUGCGAUGGCCAAACGAGGUUGCCAGCCAGAGGAAGAUAGUGUUGAAGAGUAAGAGACAAAGAGCUCUUGAGCUUCGGAACAAUGACAUCGUGAAACGAGAUCUCAUUCGAUGGAAAUUCAUAGAAAAAAAGACGUUGGGUUGGAAGAAACCUUAGCCACAAUAAAUCAAAGAAAGUGAGGGGAAGAGAUGACGGCACCACCGCGGCCGCCGGAGGAGGAGAGACUUUGCAGACGUCAAUUAAUUUUAGAGAAGGAAAGUUAGCCAUCGGAAAUAAAAAGAAAGUGAGGAUAAUUGUUUAGAUUUUUUCAAAACUUUGUGGUGCUUUAAAGGUACAAAAACGACUGAAAGAAAAUACAGAUGACGACGAAUUGGCUUUUGUCUUUGCUUUUUAAUCGUUGGAAAGGAAAAUCCUACAGAAUUGCAAAAAUAUCGGUAGUAUCAUUUGUAUAAUACAUCCAAACAUUUAUAAAAUAUAAUAAAGUUUUACUGUAUUUUAUAAUUAUUUUUAAGAGUUUUAUUCUUUACAAUCAUUUUCUCUACUACAUCUCAUAUUUACUAUAAAAUAUAAAUAUUUUGCUGAUUUUUAUAAAUUAUAUUUUUAAAUAUUUAUUUUAAAUAGGUUUUUUUUUAAUAAAAAAAAUAGAACUAAGUGACAAAAUAUUUACAACGUAUAAAACAAUUUCAAAAACGAAAAAAAUUCACAAAUCCACAUUAGAAAAUAUAAAAAAUGUCCAUAAUUAAUUGACAUCGAUAUAAUAUAUUUUGGAAAUCAUGGUUCAGUAUUUGAAAAACGAUCGUUUAAAUCAAAUAUAAAUCUAAUAAUUUUUUAAUAAUUUUUAUUUCACACAAUUUUUUAAAUUUGGGUUGCCAAAUCUCAAUCAUUUUUUUCAAUUUUUUGAAGAAAUGAUCGUUUAUAUUUAGUACAAAACGAUUUUAUUAACGAUUAUUGGUACACGAGCGUUUAAAUUUAGUACAUAAUUGUUUAAAUUCGUUUUUUUAAAGAUUGUUUUGGUAAACUAUCAUUUAAAUUAAAUUUGGUACAGAUCGUUUAUAUUUGGCUCUUUAAAUUUGGAAAGCCAAAUCUAAACGAAUUUUUUAAAAGAUUCUUUGAUAUUUAAAUUUAGCUAUACACGAUUGUUUAGAUUUAGUUAUAUAAUAUUUCAAUAAUUUUUUUUUACGAUCUUUUAUAUUUGUUCCACAGUCUAAACAAUCAAAUAAAAAAAAACAUUGUUUAUUUGGUACAUAAACUUGAACUAAAUGAAAAUCGAGAAAAAGUAUGCAAAUUUCGUUAUGAUUACAAAAUUUUGGGAACAACCCAAACAACAAACUUAAUCUAAAAAAGGGGCGGACUAUUUAGAUCAUUGCAUUUGAUUUAUUGUUUUUCUUACCAUGAUUUUCAUCUAAUUUUUCUCACAUGAACAUUUAAAUUUUCACCUAAAUUCUAUAUGAAAAUUAUAUAUUUUUUUAACUUGUUUAAAACAUUCCUAAAAAUAGAUAAUAUAAGAUAAUGAAUCUUCUCACUGCAAAAUAAUGUCAAAUUAAGAUGUUUAUAGCCCUUACCUACAAGCAAAUUAACAAUAAAUUUACAACAAAUUAAAUUUAUUAAAUCAGACAUGCAUAAAGUAAUAGUAUUUUAAACUAUUAAUUAAAUUAAACAUCAUUAUUAAAAAUGUAUCAAAACUCAAAAGAGCAACAAAUUAUUUGGAAACUAACAAUGAUCCCAAUGUUGAUCAUUAAAAAAAGAUUCAAAGCCUUGAUUAAAUAUAGUAACAAAAGCUUCCAUUUCAUCCCUUUCCCUAACAACACCAAUCUCCAUUACCACAUCACUAUUUUGACUAUCAGUCAAAGGAAAAACGUAUGGUGAUUCAGCGGACACAAUCUCCACUUUUUUUGGUUUUCCAAAUCCAAAAUCAGCGUUAUAAACUCCAAAUCUUGGUGAACCAGCUAGAGAAAUGGCUUGUAUUUUUGAAUAAUCAUUUGUCGCUUGGCUCAUCAUUGACCCCCAAUUCUCAGACCCAUUUAAAGCUCCAUCAUCCAACUUUCUAAUAGCUUUUGAAAUCUCAUCACAAGCCAAAAUUAUUCCAUUUUCACUCAAAAGUUCAAACCUCUCGAGAGAAGUAUACCCACCAACCAAACAAUUCCCAAAGUAAUUCAAUGGCACUUGUGGCUUUAAACGAGUUCUUGCAUCAGCUGCAAACCCAAACCACAAUUUUCCUUCUUUUAAACCUUCUAAUUUGGCUGUACAAACACAAAGAUAAGCUGUUGCUAUUGCAAAUGAAGAUAUGUGAGAAGAAGAAUCAAAAUUUUCGUUUUUGAUCUUCUUGUUCAAGAUCCAUUCCUUUAGCUUUUGAAUGUUUUGGUGUGUGAAUUCUAAAGUGCUUCUAACUAAACCAUGUUUUGUUUGGGGGAAUUUAAGGUUUAGGCUUUUGUUGUUGGGUCCUUCCACAUCUUUCCAUGCUUUUGCAUAGAUUUUUGCAAGAUCUUUUGGAUCAUUUAUAACUGACCUAUCAUAUAAUGGCAUUUGCUUGGGGGUUGGUAUAAAGGAUUCUUCAAUGCAAAUUUGAGCCCAUGAUUUGAUAAAUGAAGUUGAGCUCCUUCCAUCUAAGAUUCCAUGGUGAUUGGAUAUUCCAAUGGAAAAACCUUUGUUUUGAAAUUUUGUUACCUAUAUUGAAAAUAUAAAUAAUUAAUUAAAUGCAUGCAACAGUAAAUUAGAUUUAAUGUAUUCACACAUAUAAUAAGUUAUUAUAAAGCACAACAUUGGAAUAACCCAUCUAAUAUUACAAUAUAAAUGAUGUGAAACCUAGUUUCAAGUAUUCGAAAGUUUAUAUUUGGCUUUCUAGAUCUACCAUAUCACUAAUACAAGUCUAUCACUAAUAAUAUUUUAUCAAUGAAAAAUGUGCCACUAAUAGAGAAAUCUAUUAUGACAGCAUAUAUAGCCAAUGAAUAUAUUUUUUUGUAACUGUAAUUUGUUUUUAAGAUAUUGUUGUUAUAUACUUGCUUAUUUUGCCAUAAAAGUUAUAUUCAUUGUAAUAAUUCUAAUUCUAUUUACUCCAUAACUAAAUAAUACUACAUUAAUGGUUUAGUACUUAACCAUGCAUUUAAGUUUUUAUUGCAUUACAUAUUUAUUCUUUUUGACAAAAAAUGUAUUUUUAGUUCAUGUGAUGUAAGGUUAAUGUUUAUUUAGUCUUUCAAGUUUUAAAAUUGAACACUUUAGUCUUCGAAAUUCGACGAACAGUUUUAAAUGCCCCAUAAAGUUACUUACAUAGUUAGUGGACUAAUGAAAAAAUGAUGUGACCCUUAAAUAUGAUUAGUUUUGCAAAAAUAUAUUAUAAUAUUAUUUUCUUAUGAUUUGAGAUUCUUCUCUUCUUUCAUUCUCUCCCUUCUUCUCCUUCAACCUUCCUUCAUAGUACUGCACUUUUUUUUUUUUUGUUAAGUUUUUGAAGCCAUUCCACUCAUCAUCACCUAGAAUAUCUAGCCAAUCUUGUUUCCUUUUUUUAUCUCUAGCUAUUUGCCCCCUUUCUUUCUCCAAAUCUUAAUUGUUUCUUUAUUUUCCAAAUCUCAACCUCCCACUUCGUUAAAGAAAUUUCCAUACUUCUAGCCCCAAACUUCUUUGUUAGCAUCAAAUUCUGCAACUUUUACUUGCAUUUGGAGUAAUAAUCUCUCCAUUUUCUCCAUCCAAAUUCAUUAUUUUGUUUUUGUUCGAUAUGUUUUAAAAUCAUAAUAAGUUUCACAGAAGAAAUCUUAACUGACCAAAUCUUUCAUUUUAUAGUUUGGGGUAAUAUUUCUUUUCAUUUUGCAAAUUUAUUGUGAGAAAAAAAAAACCAUAGGAGUAUAGCUUGGGAUAAGAUGAAAGAAAAAUAAAAAUUUCACGAUAAAGAAGAAGAUAGACAGCUAUGGAAGUUGAGAUUAAUUUGGGAGUAAAGAAAGAAAAUUAGAUAAAAAAUAAAUAAAGAAAAGGUUGAAUAUUGACAUUAUGGACUAUGGAUAAAACAGAGUGGAGGGGAGAGGUGUCACACUAUAGACAAAUAAUAUUGUAAUAUAUUCGAUUGUUGAGAGUUCAUUUUAAAACUUUAGAACGAAACAGACAUCCAAUUCAAAUCUUAAUACCAAAAGUAUAUUUUACCAAUUUUUUCUUCUUUCAAUUUAGUUCUUUAAAAAGUCUCAAUUUAGUUUUUUUUUCUUUCUUUCUUUUUUCUCUCAAUUUAGUCUAUGAUGGUCAGUGAAUAAUAAUGUCAAUAAAAUUUCUAAGAAGAAAAGAAAAAGGCAAUCUAAGCAAACAAAAAGUAGAAAUUUCAACCAAUUUCGUAAAAACAAGUAGGGAGAAGAAAUUAGAAACUUUCCUUUUUUAAUGACUUUUUGUUUCUUUUAAAUGUUUUCUACCAAUGUACUAAUUAAUAUAAAAGGAACUUAGCUGUAGCCAUAUACAAGUUCAUGAAAUUCAAAAAAUAAGUAUCAAAAUGUCAGUAAUAUAAAUAUAGUUUAAACAUAAAUUUGUUAACUUAUUUGAAAAGAAUUUUUACUAAUUGAACUUUUUUUUUUUAAUUUUUAGUUUUUAUAAUUUUUCCACCAAUAUCUAACGUUUUAUCAUUAAAAACCUUAAUAAAAACUUGUUUAUUUACAAAUAAAUAAUUUAUUAUUUUCAAAUAAGCAAACAUAUUUAUGUUUUAGAAAUAUUUAUCAAACAAAUGCAAAUCUAAUAUCAUAUUAUCACCUACUUAAGAAUUAAUGGUUAAAAACCUGAAUAGCAAUGACUGCAGCACGGUUAUGAGAGACUGGCAAUUGAGGAACAAGAGGAUGAAACUCUGAAACUUCCCGAAAUCCGUUACCAGAAAGAUGAUAAAAGUUGUCGUCGGACUCCGCCACCGUCAUGGAAACUCCAUCGCCUUCUGCAAAUUCAAUGAAGGGUACAUCAGAUUCUGAUGGCCAAACGAGGUUGCCCGCCAAAGGAAGAUAGUGACGAAGAGUAAGAGAGAGAGAGUUCUUGAGCUUCGGAACAAUAACAUCGUGAAACGAGACCUCAUUCGAUGGAAAUUCGUAGAAAAAAAGACGUUGGAUUGGAUGAAACCUAAGCCACAUCAAAUCAAAGAAAGUGAGGGGAAGAGAUGAGGGCGCUGCCGCUGUCGGAGGAGGGGAGACUUUGCAGACCUCAAUUAGUUUCAGAGAAGGAAAGUUAGCCAUUGGAAACAAAAAGAAAUUGAGAGGAUAAUGGAGUAGAUUGUUUCAAAACUUUGGGGGUGCUUUAAAAGUCCAAAAGCGACUAAGAGAACUAAGAAAAUACAAACCAUGACGUAUUGGCUUUCGUCUUUCCUUUUUACUCGUCGGAAUGGAAAAUCUUCUAGAAUUUUGGAAAGUAUAUCGGAAAUAUCAUUUUAAGAAGUAAACCAAAAUAUAUUAUAAAAUGUUAAUCUGGAUCUACCAUGCUCUAUCUUGUAUAUGGAUUAUAAUAUUUUAUUCUAUUUCAUAAAUAUUUUUAGUAAUUUUUAUAUAAUAUAAGAGUAUAUUUUUAAAUAUAGCAAAAUAAACUAAAAUAUUUAUAAAAUACAACAAAAUUAUAUAUAUAUAUGAUCAUUAUUGAUAUUGAUAGAGAAGAAAAUUUAUUAAUAUUUAAAUUGAUAUUAUAUAAAAUUUUAUUAUAUUUUGUAAAUAUUUCAACCGAAUAAUAUUUUUAAAAAUAGUAAAAUAAAUUAAAAUAUUUACAAGUUAUAGCAAAAUUUUAGAUUAUGUCCGUGAUAGUCUUCUAUCAUUAUGGUAUAUAAAUGACUAUCAGUGAUAAAAUUUGUUAUAAGUUGUAAAUAUUUUGUAAAAUCUACUAUUUUUUAAAAGUUUUUUUUUUUAUUUACAAUAAUUCUAUAAGUGUCUACUCCAUCUCGUUUUUACCAAAAAAAAAGUAUAGAUAUUUUGCCAACUUUUAUAAAUUAUCUUUUUUAGCAUGUAUAUUUCAAAUGCAAUAUUAUACCAAUACCCUUCCGAACUUCAAUUCAUAUUUAGUUAUCUUUAUAUGGUACGAUUAUUUAUUAAAUAUAAGAGAAAUACGUUCGAUUAUUUUUUUAAAAGUAAAAUCAUUUAAAAGAAAACUCAAGAAUGAUGAGAAAUGCAUUAAAUAUACAAAAAUCAAUUUUAAUUUAGUAGGGUAUUAAACACAAUUAUGAAAAUUAAUCAGAUGAGACCAUAAAUUAAUUAAUGGUCGAUUUUAGAAAAAUCAGAUACAUUGAACUAAAUCAAUUCCAAAUUGACAUAUGUGAGAAUUAAAUAUACAAAACCAAUUUUAAUUUAAGAUAAAUUAGAAAUCCGAUUCAUCUAGUUUCAAAAGAGUUAAAAGAACAGUGUUUACUGUAAUUCAACCAUUCCUUUUUCUUUGUUUUGUUUCUUUAAAGAUAAUUGUUUAAUUAUUGGCUAAUGUAGCCCUAAGACGGCAGUGGGUUAGUCGUCAUUUGAACAAAAUGAUGUUAGGUAAAGUAAUGAGUGUUAUUGCUAUGAAAACUAAUGAGGAAUAGAGAAUCAUGGAACGAUACAUUUAUUAUUAGAAGUUACACCGUUGAUAAAUUUACUAUAGGUGACAUCGAAUGUGGGUCAUUGUUAGGAUAGAAAGAAAUAAAUUUUGUGUAGUGAUCCGUGGCGUGGAAAACAAGAAUUCCUUCUGCUUAGCCGGCAUGGAAGUAUGGGAAUUAACUUAAAAACAAAAUAAUAGUAAUUAAAAAAUAUCUUUGGAUUAUACAAUUGUAAUUAGAAUAAUAAUAUAAAGAUGAGGUUUACAGCUAAGUUUUCUCCGUCUUUCAUGUCGUGGAUUCUUCUGUUUCUAUAUUUUUCAAAUUGGAUUGGAUUAGCAACUUAAUAACUAAAAUUUCUAUAUUUUUCAAAUUGGAUUGGAUUAGCAACUUAAUAACUAAAACAGUAUUUCCAACUCAACCCUAUUGGAUUGUUAGAUUUUGAGAAGAAGAUGGUGAAUGUGAAAGACUGAAAAGGAGAUGUUGAACGCCAAAGAUGAGAGGAAGGGUGUGAGUUAAAGAGAUGAGGCGGUCCUACUUUUUUUCUUCCUUUACUAAAUUAAUAAUAUGUAUAUAUAUAUAUAUCAUUAAUUCAGGUAGGUUAGAUUGAACUAAAAUUUACAACUUCAAACUCAAAUCUAACCCAACACAAAUUUUAAACUAACUCAACACAAAUUUUAAACUAACUCAACAAACCGUUAUAAUAUGGAUUGAGUAGUGUGGACUAUUCAGAUACACGAAAAGGGUCAAAUAUGUCACAAUUAAUAACAUCCAAAUUUUAAAUUGGAGAAUAUUUUUGGCAAUUUUAGGACAUGUUGUAAAUUGAAAGAAUAAAAAUAAUGUUCAUAUAUAAAGUGUUGUAGGUGUCGUCCCACAGUGAAUCUAGAAGAGGUUGAAAGAAGAUAGUGUUUUAGUUGUAGGUUGAUGGAGGGGAGUUGGACACUUUAGCACAUAAAAGACAAAGCAUGGAAAGAGAAGAAGUUGGAUUUUGUUAUUUGAAAAAGAAAAGAAAGAAAAAAGAUAAUGAUAAUAGUGAUAUUAUUAUUUUUUUAAAUAAACAAGGGAUGGGAUGCGUGAACUUCAUCUUUCUUUGCUCUUUUCCAUUUUGCAAACCUAAGCCAGCUGUCCAUUUUCGUUCAUCGUCAGCCAACAUCUGACCACUGCUCCCCUCUGACGAACCUCAGUUGUCCACUGCACCAUCCCCCACUCAGUUGGAUUUUGUCAUUUGUCGCACCUAGUUGAACGCGUCUAAUCGUCUCCGUUCGUUUCUCACUCAACCGAACACUUCCUUCACGCCACCAUUCGUCUCUUUCUUCACGCCACCAUUCGUCUCUUUCUGUCGAUGAAGUCUUCCUCAGUCUUCCACAUGUAAAUUAUCGGUAGUCGAGCUGUUCCAAGCCCAUCCUCUUUGUAUCACUUUCUACUCCAUCCGUCAAAUUCGGGUCAGUUGAAGUUGAACUUGUAUUAAUAUUGUAUUUAUGUUGAUUUGAUGUGAUGCGUGGUUCGAUCUCUAAGGCCAUCUGAGAUAAGAAAAGAAAUAGAUGAAAAAAUUAUUAUGAAAAAUGGAGGAUUAUGAAAUGGAAAGGAUUAUGAAAUGGAAAGGAUUAUGAUAACCCUUGCUUGGAAAAGGAAUAAGUGAGAAGGAUUACGUGGAAAGAACUAUGACAAAAAUAUAUAUAUAUAUAUAUAUAAUUUUUUUUAUAAUUCGUACUCUUGUUUUUUUAAAAAAAAAUUGUAUUUUAAAUCAAGUACACAAAUAUUCAUAUUCGUUUUAAUAAAACAUAUCCAUCAACAACAAAAAAAAAAAAAAAACUCUCCAACCAAUAGUUACACAACAAAAAAAUGACAUAAUUUAAUAUAAUAAGUAAACCAACAAUAAUUUCAUUAAUCUUUGCAAUGUCAUCAACAAUUACAUAAUUUCAAUCCAAUAUAGUCAAUUAAAAUUAUUAUAUGUGACCUAUUCCAAAAUCAACAAUAAUAAUAGUUAUUUUAUAUAACCAAAAGCAUGUGUGGUAUACCAAAACUAAAGUCUAUCCUCUUGUUAUACCAAUGAACAAAAGCUCCAAAAAUACUAAAUGCUCUUUGCAUCAGCUGAUAAGCAAGAUAAAAACCGGGUUCUCCUGAAAGAAAAAACAACAAAACAACUAUAAGAAGUUUUAGAUCCAAAACAACUAUUUAUGAUGGCAACUCUAGAUUGAUUAGGAGAUCAAGAGAGAAGAAGAUGGAGGGGCGUUUUUGUAUAAAAAAAAGCUUAAAUCUAACAUAAAUAAUAUUCACCAUACCAUACUUGGCCUUAAUAUCUCUAGAUCAUGUACCAACCAUAUGUAACUGUAAUAUCAGGCUAAUAAAAAGAGAUCUCAAUUUUCAACAAAUACAAUGCCAAUAACAUUAUAAAGAUACUGCACCCAAUAUCCCAUCCAAACGAAGUACAAUUCAGAGGGUUGAAAGUUAUAAACUUUAGUUACACAAACUCUUUUAGCUAGUAGCUAUAAUACACAUACAUAUAUACAUACACACACAUAUAACAGAAUAAAAAACUUUGGAGGAAAAUAAAAAAUUAAAAGAGGAUACCAAAUUUCUACCAAAAUCAAUUCAAGAAGGAAGACACGGCAAACCAGUAUCUAAUACUCAAAUAAUUUAGAUCCCAGAUCCAUAAAAGAAAUCAGAAGGACAUACCCAUGUAGAAGUACAAACAGAAAAUGACUGAUGCCUCUACUCCAUUUGUUCUCUUAAAGCGCCAAUUAUAAGAAAGCUAUCAUAAGUGAGAGAAGUUAAAAACUUAAACGAAGCAUAUAUAUAGAUGAGAUCAUUCAUACUUAACCAACUGGAUCUAAACACACAAAGAGACAAUCUACAACUUACAGGAAUAUCCGUAAGAAGAUCUAUCAAAGCACUUGAUGUAAAACAUACAACACAGACAACUGCUAGACCACCAACCUGCAUGUAAUACAAUUAUUCCUGAAUCUUGAGAUUUAUUAAAUUUCAGAUAAAUGUCCUAUAAUGUAUACUUCGUGGAUAAUAUCUUUGAUUUUAAAUUAUUAAGCAAUUUAAUCUUAACGAAUUUCACGUCCACAUCCAUACAAAUUCAAGAACUAACACUUCAACUAACAUGAGAGGGAAAAUAAUUACACGGUAAUUAUAUAUAACUUGAGUCAAUUAACUUCAUCUCUGAAGAAGCUUCCCCGGAACGAACUUUUUUCAACUAGACAAACAAUCACAGGAUGUUUGAUUUAAAAUUUAUGAUUUUAUGGAAUUAAAAUUAAUUAAAUAUUUGUGGGUGUUAGAAUUUAUGUCCUAAAACUCGUAGUUUUUGUAGUUUAAAAUUUAUAUUCUAUUCAAUAAAGUAGUUAUUGGGGACUUACGGGUGAAAAUAGAAUAAUAUAAUCUUGAAUCCAAUAUACUAAGGUCCUGAGGCUAUCUAGUAUAGACUUAACUUUAUGUACAGACAUAAACGUGGAUCAAGUUCGAGUAUAUAACCCAAACAGUCUAAUAGUGUAUGAAUAAGUUUGGACGUUUUAUUUUAGUAACAUUAUGGAUGCGCCUGCUUUGAAGUUAGUACAAAUGAUGUGAUCCUGAAUCGUUCAUGUAUGGAGACAUGAAAGUGAAGGCGUCCUAUGUAAAGAGUUUACAUAAGACUGGAACCAUGAAAUAAUCACUUUUAAGUUAUAAUACUAUUGACUGUAUAAAACUAACUAUUUUGAUUAUUGAUCACCUAGGUAACUUAAUCUUAAUCCUAAGCUAACUAUGAAUUUUUUUUCACACAUAAAAAUGUCCUUAGAUCUUCUAAGGUGAGGACAACUAAAUGACGUUGGCUCAAUAAGCCUUCCAUUUCAGGGGUAAGACCAGGUGCGCCGACUAGGAAUAUAGAUAGUCCUACUUGCGUUAUAGAUAGUAGAUAGUAGAUAGGUCUUGAAUAAGGGGCCCCACUCUCUCAUUGGUCCAAGAGGGAUUCCAUUUAUAGGUUAGACCUUAAACCAAUUGUUCAAUAGUGGAUUAGUGGAACUUAAGGAGCAUGAUGUAAUCUCGAAAGUAAAAUGGUAUUUUGACCCAGUCGAGAUUACAAACAACCUGUGAAGGAUGAUUAACUUACUGAUCAUGACACUACAAAAAAGAACCAUCUACUACGACAGUUGUUUACAUUAGAAAAUAGAAGGGAGGAAAAAAAACUGCCAUAAAAGGUAAAAAUACGCGUUUUUGGCGGGAAAAGACGAAAUUUUUCGGAUAACCUUUUUCGCUACAGUUAUUUGAUUUCGUAGGCAAAAAAGUCAUCUCCAAACACGAAGAUGACCAUCUCCGAACGACACUCGUUCCCAUCAUCGUCACCGCCACCACCCUCUCAUUCUUGUCUCCUCACUCUAGCACCGCCGCAACCUCCUCUAUCGGGCAACAAAACCUGUUCUGCCGUAACCUGUUCAAUUCGUGCAUGUCAUCAUAUAGAAGUAAAUUUGGUUAAGCUUUCUUCUUUUGAACAUGAAUAGAUCUCAGUGCUGAGAAUUUGCACGGACAUAUGUGUGCUGGAUUUUGUAUGUUCAUCAUUAUUAGCAAGAAGUUGCGAUUUCCUUUCACCACUAGAGGAUGUGAUAGUAUAUUUCGGUGGCUGCACCACUUAUGAUUUUCCCGUAGCUGUGGCCAAGACUUUAGGAGAUGCCAUUGCUCACCCACAGGUACCCAAAUUCUUAAUUCAUGGUUGAUUUUCAUACAAAUUUAGCUUCUCUUAUAUUUAAUAUUUAAUAUCAUGAAAAAUAACCGUUUUGGUUUUGUUUUUAUCUUCUUCUUUAUUUCUCCCUUUUUUUGUCUCUUCAUUUGUUCAAACCUUAUUUUUAUUGGAGGCGAUAGGACCCUCUGAAAUCACACAUCACUUGCUUUACUUUAUUGUUUUUCUAAUUGUUGUAGUGAAUUAGAAAGAUUCUAAUCAGUGAUACAAUACAUUUAUUUUCUGGUUUAAGCAAUGUUAGUAAUAUUGGUUCAGGAGUUGAUGCCACAUAGGCCUGUACAUAGCAAGGGGGAGAGGAGCCAAGGUGGUAUCAGAGGUUUCAAUUAAAUCGCUUCGAGGAAGCCACUUAGUUUAAUUAAUUAAGCUAAGCUUUGCUCUAGAGAGGAACAUAAAGACCUCUUGUGUAUGGAAGCACAUUUAGUUCUCAGUACAUGUAACCAUGAACCUGCAAAAUCCACAUUUUUAAAAAGCUACAAAAACGAUAAGGAAUAGAAGGCAAAGAAAUAAGGUAUAUCUAUGCACACACACUUACCUCUGUUUUCUACAUAUUUUAUGGCUUUGGUGUUUAUUUGUAAACUUCACAAGUCUAAUCUCUCUAACAUUUAAAUUUGAAGGUUUAUUAAUUUAACUCUUUUUUUAAAAAUCUUAUAGUGUUUUUGCAUUAAUUGCUUCUAAAUAAAGGGAGGAGGAAGGUGAUUUGCUCUAUAACAAAGGCACAAAUAAGCUCUAAGAGACCUUUUUUUCCCUUUUCCUUUCAAGUAAUUUUCUUUCAAAGAGAUGACUUAAUUAAUAUUGUCAAUUGAUAUGUAUGCAUUGUGUAUCAUCUAUUAUUAUUAUUAUUGAUGGAAUUUUGACUACGGUGAUGUGGUUUUUUACUCUUCAAUUUGGAGAGGUUAAGUUGUUGGCGUUAUGUGUUAGUGUAAAUUCUUUAUUUGUUGCUUAACUCCUACAAGAUAUUUAAACGUGAAAGAGAUAAUCUAAUUCGUAGCAAAUGUGAUUUAGCUCAUGCAAGAGGUCCAGUCCAAUGAAUCAAUAGCAAAUGCAUGCACAACCAUUUCCAAAAUGAUCAUUAUUUUGAUUCAUUUCAUAGUCACGAUGAUUUCUAUAUAAAGAGAAAACUUGGACGGUUGGUUCAUUUUAAAGUCUGAUCCCAAAAUGUUAAGUAAUUUUGUGCUGAUGUCAUGGUUGAGUGAAGUUAUGACUGUUUGAAAUUGUUUAUUGUUGGGCUUUCUUUUUGUUCUUUUCUGUUAUUAUUCUUUUUUGUAAUUCUGUCAUUAGAUGGUGUUUUUAGCUUUAGCUUCUGUUCUUGGUUUGUGAGUUUUAGUUCCAUUCUAAAGGUAGUUUCAGGUUGCAACAUUUCAUAUAUUAGUGAAAGGUUUGUUUUUUUAAUGAGAAAGAAACGACACUUGAAAUUUCGAUUUGAGUUUGUGAUGAACGAGUCAUUGUCUGUUGUAAUGCAGUACUGAACUUUUUAGCUUCUUGGAUGCCAUAGACCUUUAGCAAACUGUCAAUUUGGAAGAGCAUUUCUAUUUCAAACUGCCAAAGAUCAGCUAGUUCUUUCAUUUUUGUCAGUCGUAGUUUUUUUUUUUUGUCGAUUUUGACACUUGAACAAGUUUUUUUUUAUGAGAAUACAUCAAGAAUCUUGCUUUUAAGGCUUCCUCUUUUCUCUCUCGCUUUAUUUAAAUGAUAAUAAAUGGUUCAAAUUAGUUUAUUACAACAAUGAUUUGUAUGUAGUUUCAUUAAUAAUGUUAGUAUAUCAAAAUUCUUGAUUAAUUAAUUGCAGUUCAAAGAAAGUGUUAAACAAUUUGCUCAAGAUAACAUUGCUCCCCAUGCCACAAAAAUUGAUCAAACCAACUCUUUUCCAAAUGUUAGUUGGAAGUCCUUCUCUAUAUGUUUAAUGGGUUGCUUUGUAUGAUUUGACUAAAAUGUAUUAUAUUGUAGGAUGUUAACUUAUGGAAGCUCAUUCGGGACUACAAUCUCCAUUGGAAUUACAACAUCAAGUACAUGUCAUUUAUCUUGUUUGUUAAUUUUCAGUUUCUUUUCUUGGGGUUUGUAGGCUACUUUGGUUGAUUCCUUUCUAGCAGAUCUUGAUGAACUCUCUGAUGAAGACAAAUUUCAGGUUUGUAAAUGCGUUUUACUUCUCCAUGUAAAUGAAGUAAUAAUUAUGUUGGUUGUAUGUAAGUGAAGUUUUUAAUUUGUUUGGUUUAGUUUAGUGGCUUUAAUUAGUUUUGUUAAUUUGAUGACUUUAAUGGUUGUAAUGUUUUGCUUAUUGCUUUUAGCCUCUCACUUUUAAAAAAUGGUUUGUUUCAUUUCCACCACUCAAGUGUGGUAAAUGGAUUGAGUGAAAGUUACAAGACUCUGCACGGAUUUCUCAUAAUACUUAGUUAUUCAGAUACAAAAUUUAGGAUACCUGUUUUAUAGUGUACUUCAGGAAGCUAAUGAAGCAUUUAAUUCUUUGUGUUUCUUUAGGAAUCUCACAUGUAACUUAAAGAAUUGAGUAAUUGGUCAGUUGACUUCCUUACUUGCUGAUGUUGGACUUGACAUGCAAGAAGCUCAUGCUUUCUCCCCUGUUGAUGGUUUCUCUUAAUGUUUCUAUCAUCGAUGGUUGGCUUUAUGAGAUAAGAUAUAAUUUAGGCAUUUAAAUUUUCUUCUCUAAUUACUUUCUGAUCAAUGUUUGGAAGUUCACAAGAGCAAUUCAUUCUAACAUCUUUUACUAUUUUAUUUUAAUAUGGUAUACUGUUCUUCAUAUUUGGGAACCUGUAAAUUUUAUCUAAUUAUGACAUAUGAUUGUUAACUAAUAAAAAAAACUUGUAUGUCUAUAAAACUUUGUAUGGAUUGAUUCUGUUGUGUAUAAUUUUUUUGCUAUUUUUUGAAAUCUAGAUAAUGUUUUGGAGAUGGUUUUGUUGGUAGAGGAUUGAUACUAUUGGGGGGUGUUUGAUAAUGUUUGAAGGAAUUCUUGAGUUUUUUUAUGAGAUUUGAUUUGGGGGUGUUGUAAUUUUGAAGGUUGUGUGUGUGAUUGAAAUUGUAUUUUGUGGAGGUGUUUUUAGAGAUGAAGAUGGAAGAUUGGUAUGCAAAUUAUAUUGUAUUAUGUUUUUUGGUAUGGACAACCAUAGUAUUUACUUCCUUAUAUUCAUGUGGUAUUUGUAGGUUCUAAUGGAGCUGAAAAAUUCAUAAAAUUUCCUUCAAAGAAGCUAAUUAGGGUCAUCAAAAUACACUGACUGUUUUUAGAAAUGAAGGAUUUGACCAUGGUUCAAGCAACAAAGAAUAUUUUCAGAGAUAAAGGCUAUAAUUCCAUACUUGUAAAUUGUUCAAACUUGAUUGGAAAUGUACGAAUAUUACAAAGUGUAUUAUAACGCAUAUAUAUUAAAGUGUCGACCAUUUGUUUCUAUAUGGGUUUUAUAUAUUAUAACAUUAUUGUCAUUCAAAUGGUUCGUGUAAUGGCGGAGCGACAAGGAGAACAGGAAAAAACGGUAGUAAUUAAGAAAUUCGCAACAUGAAAUAAAUGUCAUAAUAUAUGAAUUCGUUACACACCAUAAUUGUCGUCAAGAUUAAAACAAUGACAUUUUUGUUAUAAAAAAAACUGCCACGAUUGCCCUAUAUUUGACAGAGAAAAAAUGUCGUCAAUAGCAAAACAAUGACAUUUAUUUUUAAACAAACUGUCACGAUUGACAUAUUCUUGACAUUUAAAAAAUGUCAUAAUAAACGAAUUUGCGACAUUUUUUUUACUGUCGUUAAUACGCAAAUGAUGACAAUUAUUUGUUGUUAUAAUAUAAAAUGUGACAGUUAUUUGUUGUCAUAAAAUAGUAAUUAACGACAUUUAUUUUCUGUCAUGAAAAAACUUAUUGUGACAGUUUUCAAAAACUGUCAUAGAAGGAUUUUUCAUAACUCCUGAUACUAUGACUGUAAAUAACUAUCACAGAUUUUAUUUGUGACAGAAAAUAUUUGUCGUCGUAGACCAUUUUUGUUGUAGUGUGGUUAUAUCAGAUGGACAUUACUAUAUCUAUAGUGAUCAGAGGAAUGCAACUACAUAACUUAUGUAGCAUGACUCAUUACUUAACAAAUGUUGAUUAGCUCGGUCUAAAUGGUUUAGUCAGUUAAUCUCAGACCGUUGGAGCCCAUGAUCUAUUGGUCCAUUAGGUUCCCCUACUAGCACAUAUGGAAUUAACUUAGAACAAUAUGUUGGAAUAAUUCGAAUUGUUUGAAUUAGGUAAAGGGAGAGGAACUGACGAAUAUAUGUGAUAUAGUCGUCAGUUAUAAGUUUGAUAUAAAGUUUUAUGUUUAAAUGUUUUAAAUAUUACAAAUAUGAAUACAAAUUCAUAUUCGAAAUAUCAAAAUUGAUGGAAAUAGUUAAAGUUGUAAAUGAAGGGAUAAAAAUCCUAUGGCAUCGGAAGAAUUUACUUUGUUCGCUCUUCUACAAGCAUUAAGUUUUUUAUGGAUAUUACGAGGAUGCUGUGUUCUUUAGUUUCACUUUGUGUAACUUUAAUUUAUUACAUUUGGAUUGUGCUGGAAAGAUUAAUGAAUCUUAGAUGCUGUAGUUCAAUGCUGAUGAUUCACUUUUUGACUUUUUUCAGUUAAACUAAAACAUAAUGUUUUGUUAUUUCUUAUUGCUUAGUGCCUAUGUUACAUCAUUUGCUGAGAAGAGAUACUCUGUUUUUCUUGCUAGACACAAUUCAUCUUCUUCUCAGCCUUAUACUUCAAAUCUCACCACUCCUUAAUCCAUUUUCAUUAAAAGGUUGUUUUUCUCUCAUUUUUUACUUUAUGUUAGUGCAUCGUUUGAACAAUUUUCUUGCUUUUAGUCAUUGAUAUGCUUGUAGGUGUUUUAGCUUUUAGUUUUGUUAUUGGCUAUUGGUUUUGAACUUUGUGUGAAGUUCUGUAAUUAAUUUAGCUGAGUUUGUGGGCUUAUCCUUGGAGGUACUCGACUACUUGCCUAGUGUUUGAAGUUUAUCAUCUGCUUAGUGAACUCACAUUUAGUUCUUCUAGGUGCCUUAGAACCGAGUUACCAAAAAACUGAUGCAUGUCCUAAUCAUUGUUGUUUGUAUAGAAGAGAGUAUGCAAACAUGAAAAAGUGUCUUAAGUGUGGUUUGUCAAGGUGGAAGAUUACUAAAAAUACAACGGUUGAAAAAAAGUGGAGUGGCUGCCAAGCAAAUGUGGUAUUUUUCAAUAGUUCCAAUAUUUAUAAGAAUGUUUAAGUGCUUUGAGAGUGCUAAGAACUUGUGUUGGCACGUGAUCGAUGGAAAAAUCAAUGGUAUUAUGAGACACCUAGCUAACACUUCAUCUUGGAGGUUGAUAGAUCACAUGUGAUCAACCUUUGGGUCAGAACCAAGAAAUCUUCUUUUGGGUUUGUCCACUAAUGUAAUUAACCCAUUUGGAGAUUUAUCAACGAACUACAGUUGUUGGUCAGUUAUUACUACAACAUACAACCUUCCACCAUGACUGUGUAUGAGAGAGAAGUAUUUGUAUUGACAAUGAUAAUAUCAGGUCCAAAGCAAUCGGGAUACGAUAUCAAUAUGUACUUGACACCCUUAAUUAAUGACCUAAUGUUUUUGUGGGAAGAUGAGGUUCGAUGUUUUGAUGCAUACAAAGAAGAAUAUUUCACUUUGUGGGAUGGCUUAUUGUGGGCCAUUUAUGUGGUUGUAGUGUCAAGGAAUACAAUGCUUGUUCAAUAUGUGGAGAGGAGACUACCUCAAUAAGACUACAAAAUAUUUGCCAAGAUAUCAUACAUGAAUAUAGUAGGAACAUUGCUUGAUAUACCAGAAAAAAAGUAAAGAUGGUAUGAAUACUAGACUUGAUCUAGUUGAAAUGAAUAUUAGACCAAAAUUGGCACCAAUGUGUACAUGUAGUAGAACUUGCAUACUCGCAACAUACUAUACAUUGUCAAGAGAAGAGAAGUACUGGUUUUGUAAGGCUUUAUUCAUGCUUUAUUCACCAUUCUUGUUCAAAUAUCAGUAGAAUAUUGGACAUCUGUAAUUGCAUUGCUGGCUUUGAAGAUAUUUUGAGUCAAAUUUGUGGUUAUUUUUGCUUGAAGAAUUGGUCCUUUCUAGUUUUGAUUAGUCUAUAGAACUAAAUAAUCAUUGUUGCAUUUUCUUUCUUGAUCUUUCCUCUUCAUAUUAAUAAGAUUAGGGAGGUUCUUUCUAGUUUUGAUUGGUCAAUUAAAUUAGAUAAUCAAUUCUAUCAUUUUCUUUCUUGAUCUUUACCCUUCAUGUUAAGAACAUUAGUGGAGUUUUAUAGUUUGUAUUAACCUGUUAGGAGUAGUUUAUGUUCCAUUUAUUAUAAUUUGUUAAAUCAAAUUAUUGGACUGUACUUCAAAACUUUCAAUGUGGUUUUUACUGUAAUUCAAAACUCUCAAUGCAAAGUUUAGAAAUUUUUGUGUCAUUUGUUGUAUGCUGUUGUAGUUCAAAAAUUCUCUAUUGUAGUUUGAAAGGGAUUUUGACAAGAAAAUGUGUUUGGACAAUACCAUCUUGUCAGGUUCUAUGUUUCUUUGGGCGUCAGUGUCAAAAUCUUUUUGUAAUUAUUCGUCUUGUCUUAUUUUGAGUCUCUUUCUUUGGUGGAAUUCCUUUUUGUGGGCUUCAUUUUUUGAAUGCUCUUCCAUUCUUUCAAAUGCACUACAUUGUUCACGUGAUCAUGUCUUUGAAUGUUUUUGGUUUAGUUACAUCUUGUUGGAAAUUGCACUUACGAUUUCUGGGGUAAUUUGUGUUUGCCACCGAACCAAAAUGCUCAUCCUUCAAUUCUUAAACAACUCUGUUGAAGCAGUGAAAUCAUAUUGGAGCAACUUAUUGAUCCAUAGGACUUUUUGUAGAGUUGGUAGCAAAAUUUUGGUUGAAAUGUACCUAUUUUACCCUUGUUGUAACUAAAAGAUGUUUGUUUAUUCUAUCAUUGUAAACCUUUUACCAACAGUUGUACAAAUAUUCCAAGGUGUUUUAUAACGUAUAUAUAUUAAAGUGUUGAAUGUUUGUUCAUAUGGAUGUGUGUUGUAUCGUACUUUGUGAUUGAACUGGUCCGUGUAAUGGUAGAACGACAAGAAAAAUGGAGAUUGCCCAAGAAAAUAGGGAAAGAAGAAAAGGACUAAUAGAGUAACAUUUGAUUUAAAAAAAAAAAAUUGUCAAGGUAGAGGUAUUGUUGACAGUAAAUUAUAGUCAUGCUAAGUGUUUUCUUGACAUUUAAUAAUGUCAUGAUUGACAUAUUCUUAACAAGAAAAAAUGUCAAAAUAUAAGAUUUCAUGACAUUUUAUAAUUGUCAUUAGUAUGCAUGUAAUUGAAAGUCUACAUCAUAAGUGAUUCAUGUUUUGUGAAGUCCAAGACUAAAACAACAUUAGGUCUUUACAACAUAGUGUAGUCUUUCGGAGUUUGGAUUCAGUUGUUUGAUACGAAGAGUGACGAGUUUGAAAGCUUAAAAAGUUCUCAUGAUACAUGUCUUAUUCUAUCUUAUGACCAUGCUGAGCAAUUGUUAGUGGUAUUGGUAAAAUGGAGUAGUGAGUUAUUUAUUUUGAAAAGCACAAUAUUUUCAAAUUAAAUUUCAACUCAGUUUAAAAGAACAAGUCCUUCAUUUAUCAAACUCAGUCCUGGAGCUAAUGUUGAUAUCUUUUCAAAUUUGAUUAAAUCGAGCCAAGAUCUAAAGUUGAGGUCGAAACUUGUCCUACAAAUCCUUUAUUUAUCAAACCUAGCCCUAGAGCUAAGGUUGAUGUUUUUACAAAUUUUAUUAAAUCGAGCCCAGAUUUGAAGCUGAGGUCGAAGCCUGCCUAACAAGUCAUUUAUUUAUCAAACCUAGCUCUAGAGUUAAGGUUGACGUUUUUUCAAAUUUAGUUAAAUUGAGCCCAAAUCUAAAGCUGAGGUCAAAACCUGUCUGUCAUAUCCAUUAUUUAUCCGACCUAGCUUUAGAGGUAAGGUUGAUAUUCUUCUCAUUUUAUAGUUUUCUUUCUUUUUUUCGCUCUCUAAAAAAUGAAAAAUAAAAAAAUGGCCCAAACACCUUAUCUAUUUUCUUUGUCCACCUUUAAAUAUUUUCAUGAUAGAUAAAGGAGACAAGUUAUAAAUACCGUAUUUUGUCCUACAUUUUUUAUUUUUCAUUUAUAUAUUUAUGUUUAUUUUUUUUAUAAAAGAAUUUGAAUUUAAUUUUUUUAAAAAAUAAAAAACAAUAAAAUCAAAAACAAAAUAAAAAAUAAAAAUAAAAAACAAAUAAGUUUUUUUCCCUUGUCACCAUGCUUCUAUUCUCUCACUUUCUCUCCAAUAGUCUUCACUCCAUUUCACUCUGAUCUAAAAAUAAAACGACCAAACUUGUCCUAUAAAAAGAAAAAGGAGAGAUUUUUUAGUGGAAGAUGUUGAGAUUUUUUAGAGGAAAUGUACACUAUUUACUGUAAAAAAAACAUUUUCAUUUACUUGUCAUUUGAGAGGAUUGAGAAAGCACUUUCUCGAAAUCAAUGGGGUUUCAAUUUUAUUAGAUUUAAGUCGGACCUGAAAUUUAUUGUGUGUUUUUUUAAAAAAAUUCAUGGUUCAUGAUUGACUGUGUUGAAUUUUUUUAUACUCAUUUGACAUACAACUUUAACUGUUUGGCAUUGUUUGACAUCCUACUUUAAUUAUUUGAUACUCAUUUGACAUCUGUGUUAAUUACCUAUUUGGCCUCCUAUGUUUAUUAUUCAUUUGAAUUAUUUGCAUCUUACACUAAUUAAUUAACGUCCUACCAUCCUAUACUAAUUAUUUGACACUCAUUUGACAUCAUGUGUUAAUUAUUCAUUUGAAUUAUUUGCAUCAUGCAUUAAUUAAUUAGCAUAUGUGUUAGUUACCCAUUUGUCCUCCUGUGUUAAUUAUUUAUUUAAAUUGUUUGCAUCCUAUAUUAAUUAAUUAGCAUUCUGGCAUCUGGUUUAAUUAUUUUGCACCCAUUUGGUAUCAUAUGUUAGUUAUUUGGCACGCGUUUGACUUCCUAUGUUAAUUAUGUUAAUUAUUCUUUUGUCAUUCUACUUUAAUUAUUUACAUUUUGCAUUAAUUAAUUAGCAUCGUGCGUUAGUUAAUUAUUUAACAUCCCAAUAUAAUACAUUAAUUACGCUCUCCUACGCUAAUUAAAUAUUUUGCAUGACAUCUUGCAUAUUUUUGCAUCCCGCUUUAUUUUGCCCUUAUUUAUUUGUUUUCUUAUAUUAUAUUUGUAUUUAUUUUAUCUUCCACGUUAUUUUAUCUCAAACUUUCUAUGUUAUUUUAUCUCAAUUUCUUUGUAUUAUUUUAUUAUUUUUUCUCAAUCUUUUUGUAUUAUUUUAUGUUACUGUACUAUUUUAUCUUAUCAUAUUACCUUAUUUAUUUUUCAAUUAUUUCUCAAAUUUCACAAAGUUUUUUCAUUAUUAUUAUUAUUAAUUAUUUUCUAAUUUGAAUAUAAAAAUUUAAAUCAGAGAAAAAUCUAUUGUUUUUUUAUGAGUUUUAUAAUUAAAAUUCCAUGAAUACAUGAAAUUUCUUCGUUUGAAAUUUAAUUAAUAAAUUGUCUUUAACAUUAUAAAUCAUUUCAUACUUCUAAACGAGACUUAGUAGUGUUUGUUAUGAAUUUAUUAAUUCUUAGAUACAUAAAAUUUAUCAUUGACACCUAUGAUAAAGAUGAAAAUAUCAAAAUUUGUUAUUUUAAUAUUCUUGAGGUGAAUAUAAAAAAAAUAGUAUCUUUUGAAACAAAAAGAAAUUUCAUUCUUCUAAUGGCUCUUAUGAUAACCAUAAUCAUCAAAUUCAUGCUUAGGUUUUAUUUUGUUCGAUGUGAAUUGAAAAUCAUGGAACAUUUAAAAAUAACAAAAUAAAAAACUUUGUUUAAUUUGUGAACUUUAAUUGGAUAACAAUUUUAUGGGUGCUGUAGGUGCUAGCACAUUUUCAACACAUAAUUAUCAAUGCAUGCUUACAUACACCAUUUUUUAUUUUGUUGGUGACGACUCCAAACCUACUUAUUUAUUAAAAUUAAAUAAACGGACAAUAGGCCAUGACAUUGAUAAACAUAAAUUAAAAAGAAUUCCUCUCUUAAUAUUAAAAUGUGUUUCUUCUCUAAUUAAUUUGAGUCAAUUCUUCACACUCAUUCUUGAAAGUUAUAAUUGUAAGUUACACCUUCAAAUUAAAUAUUUUGUUGCAGCUUAUUAGGUUUUUUUUUUUCCCCUUAAUGGCUUUGAUUGAGUCUAAGGUUGUACAUUGUUAGUUGUUUUUUUUUUCAUUAAUACAUUGUGUGUGUUCAUACAACUUCCUGUUUUAUUGAUCACAAAAUGUGAAAAGAAGUUAUUUAGAUAAAAUGUAGAACUGAGUCCACUAUAAUUAACAACAAACUUAAUCGUUAAAAGGAGUCCACAUUUUUAGAUGAUUGCCAUUAAUUUAUUAUUCUUUUUUCUAGUGGUAGAUUCAGAAAUUUUACAUAGGGACAUUUGACACUAUAUAUUAAACACACUACAAAUGUUAAAAAAAUAUCUUGAUGUUUCACUGAUGCUCUAAUAACAUCAACUACAUUUGUAGCAAUAAAGAAAGAUCAACAAUUUUAAUAUGAUUUUUUUUGUAACGUAAAUAUGUGAAUUUAAAAUUUGCAUCCAAAAAAGAAAAGAAAAGAAGAAAGAAUAAUACAUUUUUCAUGAGAUAUUGUUGAGGAAGUGAAGGUUUGAAUUACGAUUUUGUUACAUUUUUUUUUUAUUUUUUUUGGUUAGAUAGCAAAUAAGGUCUAGAAAAUAAGUUAGGGUUAUAUAUGAGUUUUCUUUUCUCUUUUUAACAUAUUGUCUUCCAUUUAAGAAAUCAAAAUAUCUUCUAUUUGGAAAAUCGUUGAAAUUUAGAAAAAAAAUUAAUAUUUUCUUUUUAGAAAAUCAUUAAAAUUUAGGAAUAAACUUGAUAUUUAGGAAAAAAACAACUAUUGAUAUUUGAGAAAAGAAAUUUAUUGAUGUUUUGAAUAAAAUCUAUUUUGUAAUAAUUUAGGAAGAAAUUUGAUAUUUGCGGAAAAAAUUAUUGAUAUUUGAAAGAAAAACUAUUUUGUAAAAAUAAUUGUUGUAGAUGAGAUUUGAACUCACAAUCAAAGGGUUUGCAGCAUAAAUAAAAUUUAGGCAAAAUGAAACUAAAUUUAAUAUAUAUUGUAAUCUAACACUACAAAAUUAAUAAAACCGAUAAUGUGAGGGGAGCGCGUCCCUCUUGGCCCCUUAAUAAAUUCAUCCUUGCUUUUUCCUAUAGUGAACAUGUCCUUGAGUUACACCUUUUUUUUUCUUUUCAUACAAUGAUUCUCAUCUUUUUUUGAACGUAGGUUUUUAAAUUUUGAGUUAAAUUCUAUAUUUUCUAAAGUAUAUUUUCACCUUGAUCAAAAUGGAUAAUAAGGCAAAAAAAAUCGUCUUAUAAACUUAAUUUCUAAAACCCAAAAUGUUUAGAGGGGCGUACAAACAAAUUAACAAUAAAGCAACUAUGGUUAGGAUUUAUUAAAUCAGACAUACAUAUAUAAAAACAAGUCUUAUAAACUACACAUCCACACAAAUGGAAUAGUACUUUAACCUAUUAAAUUAAACAUUUUUAUUAAAAAUGUAGCAAUACCCAAAAGACCAACAAAAUCUUUGGAAAUUAACAAUUAUCCCAAUGAUUGAUCAAUAAAAUAAGAUUCAAAGCCUUGAUUAAAUAUAGCAACAAAAGCUUCCAUUUCAUCCCUUUCCAUAACAAUACCAAUCUCCAUUACUGCAUCACUAUUUCUAGUAUCAGUCAAAGAAAAAAUAUAUGGUGAUUCAGCUGACACAAUCUCCACUUUCUUUGGCUUUCCAAAUCCAAAAUCAACAUUAUAAACUCCAAAUCUUGGUGAACCUGCUAUAGAAUUGAUUUGUAAUUUUGAAUAAUCAUUUGUCAUUUCUUGGCUCAUCAUACCCCAAUUCUCACACCCAUUUAAAGGUCCAUCAUCCAAAUUUCUAAUAGUUUUUGAAAUCUCAUCACAAGCAAAAAUUAUUCCAUUUUCACUCAAAAGUUCAAACCUUUCAUUAACAACAAACCCAGCAACCAAACAAUUCCCAAAGUAAUUCAAUGGCACUUGUGGCUUUAAACGAGUUCUUGCAUCAGCUACAAACCCAAACCACAAUUUUCCUUCUUUUAAACCUUCUAAUUUGGCUGUACAAACACAAAGAUAAGCUGUUACUAUUGCA